CUUUUGACGACGACGAGAGAGCCUUCAACAUCCUUACGACUCCAUUGGCUGAGGUCGAUGUUGAACUCGUAGAAGGUGACAUGAGCGGCCGUGAUGAGGAUCUCCUCAAUGAAUGGAUCGAUUCGCUGAAGAACUGUCAGGUUUAGGAGUUUUGUGCUCUGCUGGUCCAGAUUAGGCAUCAAUUUUCCGUUAUGCGACAUUUUUCAUAGUCGUUUUGGGCUCUGCCCCGAGCACAAGCCCCAGGGUUUUUCUGUGAGCUCUCUCUUUUGUAAAUAAAGUGUUUGAUGAGAUAGCCGAGAGAGAGUGAAAGUGUUGAACAGCCAAACACGGUCUCGAGAUUGAUCUUGCUUUAACUUCUUUUAAACAUUUGGGAAAUAGCAUUUAUUUCUUUUAGUUUCUCUACUUUUUUUUUCCUUUAUGUCAUUUAGACCCCAAAAUUAGAUUUAUUAUAAUCCUAUUUUACCCAUACACUAUUAACCCCUUUUAUUUUUAAAAUUUGUCAAUAUUAAUGUGUUAGAAUAAUGUUAAAAAUCCCAAUUAUUAUCUCAAUGUUUCAAUCAUAACUAAUGUGAUAACUCAUUGGUAACUGCAACAUUAACUUAAUUAUUAAUGUAACACAAUAAAAGUUUCGUACAGAUUUUGAUAUUGAGAGUAACACAAUAAAAGUUUCAUACAGAUUUUGCAAACGAAAAGCACAUAAUACACUUAACUAGGAGGAAAAAUUAAGGUGUAUAUAUUACAAACUGCUAACAAUAUACAAUUGUAAAAAUCACUCACAAAUACUAGGCACCAAUAAGAGUAUGAUACAGCCAUUCUAAAUGAAAGAGAAUACAACUGUUUUACAACUAUGUCACAUCAAGAGAUAUGUUAGCAGGAUUAAUCCAGAUACCUUCGAACCCAAUUAACGAACUCGAGUCAGAAACCAGGGGCCCCCAACUAAACCUUACAAUCUUGAAGGAAGAAGGAGACUCGUGGUCCAGAUAGGUGACUUACUAGAUCUCCUGCAAAAGAGAAUAUCUAUUGCUUUGAACCUCCAUUGAAAUUUUUUUUUCCCUUUUUCUUGUUUUGACUUGGAACUUUCCAACAUCAUCUAUUUGAUCUUUUUUGAAGGUAAAAUAGCAAUCUAUAGGUUGCCAACAUGUUAUUCUGCCAAACCCCACCCCACCCCCCCGGGGGACAACAAAUCGACCUAGCACACACCUUUCUUCAUUGCCCACACCUACAGAACUAUAAUAAAAAGACUACGUUACUAUUGGGGUAGAGAAAAUAUACAGACUGUAUUAUUAUUACAUCGCAUUUUACUAAUUAACUAGUGCAAGACUUCUUUAGUGUCAAAUCAAGAACUAAUUAGAAAAGACAACUCAUGAUAAUACAGACCUUAAUAAGCAAUUGCUAACAACAUCCCAUAUACUCCUAUUUUAGCCUUCAUUAUCCUGGUAAAAACACAAAUAAGUCUUGCAAACGAACAUUUAUAAGUAAAUUCAACAUUAAUUAAGAUUAGGUAUCUACUGCACCUAAUAGCAUGGUCAACCAUCCAGUUCCUGUAGCCUUCCAUGUACCUAUGUUAGUUACAUUUUACAUAUUAAGCCACGAAAACGAAGAAUCACAGCCUGGUAAAGAAAGACAUUAAUUAAUAGUUUUUGUUUAAAAAGUUCUCCUUUAGAUCUUUCCUAUUCAAUGAAUCAAUGUAAUCUAAAGAGAAUUCUUCCAUUUCAAACAGUGUUAGAAGGUAUUUGCAAAGCCUAAAGAUAAUAUACAAGGACCAAGAUAUACACAGAUGGUUUCUUUAUGGAAUUAAAGAGCUUUAUAGAUGUUAAAACUGUUUCAAACAAUUUUUCUUGUUUGGUUUAACUAAGGAAAAGCUUGUGGAAGAUUAAAAAUGAUGUUUCCUAUUCUCUGUAGGAAACUUUUAGGAGAUUUUUUGGGCUUUUUUGAAAGGUUGAAUUGUCAAAAAUACCUUGAUGUUAUUGUUUGCUAAAAGAUGUUACGGACAUCUAAACAACCAACAACAUUUUGUUAAAAGCUCUACUAGUGUAGGAUCUACUUAAAGAAGCUAUACCAAACAGACUCUUAGACUGAAUAACUCGAUCUUAAGUUUGUAAAAUUGGGCUCAGAAUCUCCACUAACAACCCCGCUUCGGUGAGAAAGCCCAAGCCUGUUACUUUGUAUAACCUUAUUCUGUAUGUUUGAUUGCAGGAACUGGCCGAUCAUACCGACGAGGUGAGUGUGCAACAUGAGGUGCUUGACGGGAUGUUUACUUUCUAUGAUACAACUAAAGCUAGCCUCAACAUAUAUCAGGUGCCUGCUUGUUUUUACCUUCUAGAUACUAAUAUUGUUUAGACGUGUAAUCUCUCUCUCCAUUGAACGCUAGACGGCUCGUCUCAAGCCUUCUACGUACUUCAGAGUCCUUCACUAGCUUUUUAUGUAUAAAGUUUUGAUCUUUUUCCUUCAUUUGCUUGAAGCUCAUUACUGCAGAUUUUUUUUACAGGUUGGUAGUGUAACAUUCGACUUGCUGUUGCUUCUAGUCUUGGGAUCGUAUUUAAUUGUGCUUUUCAGCUUUCUUGUCAUAACAACUAGGGUAUCACUCUUUCUCCAUAUCAAGCUUGAAGUUCUAAAUUUCAGUUUUAUCUUUUAUUUGAUGUUUUAUAAUUUCAUUGCAAACAGAUUAGAAUAGAAACUUCAAAAGUUCCAACUGACUAGUCCCGUGUAACUUUUUCAGGGAAGAUUUUCUCUCAUAACAACUACGAACGUGUUAUGGUUUAGCCCAGUGACACAAAGGACAGUUUUCAACAAUUGAUCCUAGGAAGAUGCCCAUAGCUUGUUGUGCCAAAAAUAGAAAAUCUAAGAUGCGAAAAAAUUUUGUUGAGAUUCAUUUUUCAUCCUGAUGUUACCGCUGGCCUUUUUUUUUUUUUUUUUUGGCAGAGAAUAAUGCUUAUGUGAUUUCUGAACUUGGUGAUUGUUGAAAUGAGCUGAAAAUGAGCUGGAAAUGUGUUUGGUUAAUGAGAAAGAGAGCAAGAAAAUGAAAGAAAUCUAUUUCACUUUUUAUUUAUCAGCAUGAUUACAUUCACAAUGAAUCUAAGCUGCUAUUUAUACUUAAAUGACUACACACGAGAAUCUUCUUGCUAGAUACUUCUAGAAACUCUACACGCACACUCACACUGAGCUAGUGGUUACCAAAACCGUUACAACGAUAUUGCCAGCUCAGCAUAACCAACUUAUAACUAACACACUCAGCUGCAGGGGAAACCAUCAAGCUUACUGUGCGUCCUCUGUAAUCAAGCUUCUUUAAGCAUGCUCUGCAGAUCAUACGUCUGAAUUAUCGAAACAAGAUGAAUUAUUUUUUGUUUAUUGCAGCAGGCGAUCAAUGAGCGGAAUUUCUAGCUUGUAUUCAAUUCGCGAACACAGUUUGAGAAGAAUCAGACCAUUAAUUUUCUUUUGAGCCAAUCAACAGAAUGUACAUUUCUUCUAAGAACUUGUAACCGAAACCGCAGUUUUUCAGGUUUGAUGCAUCUGGGAAAAUUGUCAGAUGGAAUAAAACCACCAUGCGCCAAGGUACCAAUGAUGUUUCUUCCAGCUUAUGAGCACUUCAAAUAAACUUAGGUCAUAUUUACACAAGGGCGCACAUGAUAUCAAUCUAAUGGCAAUUAUAUCAUCUAAAAUCCAAAACCAAGAGUCUCCCAUUUUCCCGCCCUCUACUCUGUUCGUAUUAUCAUAACUUGAAGAUUGCAAGGCAGCCGCAAUCUCCCAGAUCUUUGCUCCUUCCUCAUAGCAGUUAGUCAAACGAUAAACAGAGAUAUCCCAUGUCAACAAGAAGGUAAUCAUAAAAGAACAACAGAAUUGUUGCAAUAUAUUCAUAUGAAAUGUAAAACAAUUUUGAGAAAAAAUAUUGGGAAGAUGAUUUUUUUUUUCAUAGAAGUUGCAAUCUUUACGUUAUAUGCUAGUUUGACUAUGCUAUAUAAGGAAGCUAUAUGAAAUUAGAAAAAUAAGCUAUACUAGGAAAGAAUAAAUAUAUGUACAGAAAAUGAGGCUAUAAUCCCUGACUUUCAACAAAUUUAAUAUCAAUUUUCUUCUGGAAGUUGUCUCAAAUGGGGUGCAUCAGUAUUGUAACAUACUGUGAGAUGCUUAAACUCAACAAUAUAAGCAUGGUAAAUUAGAGAAAAAUGAUGCAAUUUUACCUUCCCAUUCAUGUAUGCCAAGGCUUUUUGGGCUUCCUCUUCUGUACUGAAAGUCACAUACCCGUAACCUUUUGAUCUAUUCUUACCUUUAUCCAUUAUUAUUGUAGCUGCAAAAAGAAAAGAACCGGAUAUUACAAAAUAGUGAAAGGGAAGAGGGGUUGAGACUUAAAACAGAAAUAGACCAAACCCUCAGUGACUUGGCCAAAUUGUGAAAAAGCAUCAGCUAACAUCUCUUUAGUGGUCGAGAAAGAUACGCCUGCAAAGAAUGCCAGUUAAUUUUAUCAUAAUUAGAUGGUAAGAUUGCAAAUUCUGCAGCCAAAGGUGGUACGGAACUGAAUGAAGGAAAUCAAAUAUGAAUAUGUUUUCAAUCUUAAAAUAUUAAGAGUAGCAUAAGUAACUUGUGAAACAGUUAUAAGUUCAAGGGAAUUAGAUGAUGGCAUGGUUGAAUUUUAUAAAUAUUUGAUAUUUUGGACCGAACAGGGCAAACAGAUGGAUCCAGAUAAUCAAGAAAAACAUCAAUUCCAUGCAGCCAAAUUAGUGUGGGCAAUGCAAUUGAGCAACACUAUAAAAUUAUUCAAAGAAAUCUCUAGGUCAGUAUCCAAAUAUAUGGCUCCGUCCGUUCCACCACCACAACCAAAAAAAUCAGAUCCCCCCAUUUGGAUUCGAUUGAUUAAUUUGAGCAUAAAAAAUCGGGUUUUAAACUUCCCUAAGCAAAAUUUAUAUUCCACAGAAUCAGUUCCUUUAACAUGAUGCAUUACAUAAUAUUUUGUUUGCAAAAUAAAGAAGAAAGAUGACAUAAUAGAAACACUCACAGAGAGAGAAUACCUUUGACGAAAAGCUUAGAAGUGAAUCCUCUGUAAAAUACGAGUUGAGCUGCUGAAUUUUUCGAGUUUGAAUGAGAGACUGCGGCAAUUCUGAAAAUGUUUUUUUCUCAUUAGCGCCGCCAUUUUUGUAAUAGAGGGUAAAGAAAUAAGUAACAAAGUAAGAGGUGAGCAGAAGCGGCCCAAUUUAGUUAUAUGCCAUGCAUGCGAUCAAAAUUGAAUGGUUAAAUGGCAGCCACUAUGUUACAUCUUGUGUAAGUAACAAACCGCCUACAUGGAUCGUUGGAUUUGGGAAUAUGAAAUCCAAUGGAUAAUAUUGAAUUUAACGAAAAAUAGAUUACAGGUUGCAUUAGUCCAAGUUUAUUUCAAACAAACCAGCUGAUGAAAUAGCCGCUAAUCGAAUUUAAAAGGGAAAAAAAAUCAAAUUAUAGGUUAUAGAUCUUAUUUCCAUCUUAAAUCUAUGUCUUUCAUGGUGACUCAAUGUGUAUACUAAUUUAUAAUUUGGAUCUAUAUUAGAGGCUUAGAGCCAAUGCUUCCCUAAAUAACUAAGAAAAUUUUCUUUUCAUUGAUUAAAUAUUUAUUUCCAAUAUCUUGUAUAUGUAGGAUUUGAAAAGAGGGAAAAUAGUAGGGAUGAUGAUGAGAGAAGAUAAAGAUGUCGAUUCUCAAAUCUAAUAUUAAUGCUAUACUUAUAUUCCUAUAGUAAAUAAAUUAUCCAAGGUUCGUGGUUAAUGAUACGUUGCGAAAUUUUAACUGUCUAAUAUGGCUUUUCAUAAAGCUUAGAGAAAAGUAGGGCUUUUACAAAAAAAAAAAUUUAAUUAGAAUUGUCAAUGAUAAAUUUUAAAAAGUACUUUAAUAAAUAAGCUUUUAAAAUUAUAUAUAUUAUGAAAGAAAUGAAAUAAGAUUAUAUAAUAAAUUAAGAGUAUCUUAGAUAAUUGAACUUUAAAAAUAAAACUUGCUAAGAGGUUUAAAAUUUGAGUUUUUAAUAGUGGAUACAAAAUAGUUUAUUUAAUUCUCAAAAGUACUAUUCAAAAUACAACCAUGUAACACAAAAAUUUUUAAUAAGUUUUUUGGACUAGUUAAGUACUUUUUUUGAAAAAAAAUAUAUUUUUUUCAUUGAGUAAAUAAUACUAAACAUGCACUAAAGUGUUAGGACCAGAAGUUGUACAAAUAAAACCAUGAAAUUAUAUGUUGUUGGAUGGAUAUUUUUCAAAUUUGCUGUAGUUUUUUUUUUUUAAUUUUCUGCUGGGAAAUUGAAAUGAUGGCUACAACUUAAAUUAUGAAUGGAGUAAUCGGAGAAUAUUGAAACCCAUUUAAUUUGGAUCGUGCAUUGAGGGACGAAAGGAUAAAAAAUUUAAUUUUGAAAUUGCUGUUGGGUACGGUACAAUGACUUACCGUUGACAGCUUUUGCAACCGGAUUACAAUCGGUUAGUUCAAUAAUUUUAUAUCCCUAUUUAACCGCCACGUGCUGCUGUUACAUGGGUCAAUUAAUCAUGUCUUUACCGAUACUUACAACUGCUGGUUAAAUUCUGUUGUUUCCAAUAAUUUUAUGCUGUAUCUUCUUUAAUAAUAAAGAAAACUUGCAUUAAAAUUAAAAUUAGGGUAAUACCUGAUUUUAUAAAUAGAUUGCAAUGUAAUUUUGAAAAAUAAAACAAUAAUUUACAAAAUGUUUAUAACAUAAUUUUAAUUUUUUUCAAAAAGGAAAAACAACAAAAGUAAGAAAUAGAGAAUAAGGGCUACCAACUUUGUAUCUUAAACGGCCGUUAAAUUAUUUGUAAAUGAAAGCAACGGUCAGAUAUUGGUGGAUUAUGGAAACAUGUAAUCAUAAGGACUACGAGUUUUUUUUGUUACAUUGAUAUAUUACAAUUAAAAUUCUAUUGGUAUUUACAACUAGAAUUUCAUCUGACUAUCUUUGAUAAUUCUAAACUAGUACAGCCCAAAUUCUUAUUCUCAUAUAAUAUCAAAGAUAGAUAUAUAUUCUUUUCCUCCAUUAAUAACGAGACAUUUUUACUUCUAUCCAAUUUAAAUAGAACAAGAAUUAAGUCAUUUUAAUAGUUAGGACUCAGAACUCAUACACACUAGUUUGAGAGUGUGGGGUGUGACAAUGGGCCAAGAGACCAUUGACAAGUACAAAAGAGUGGUAGAAAUUAAUUCAAACCGCUACACACGCUAUUGCAACCAAAUUGAGGGCCCAUUUUUGUUUAUUUCGUUGAAAAGUAGUCUGUAAAAUUAACUCAAACCGCUACAUACGCUAUUGCAACCCAAUUGAGGGCCCAUUUUUGUUUAUUUUGUUGAAAAGCAGUUUGCGCAAUUAAUUCAAACUGCUACACACGCUAUUGCAUCUUUUGAAAAAGAAAAAUGGAAUAGUUUUUCAAAAUUAGUUUAGAGAAUAAGAUUUACUAAUAAUGAUGUUAGAAAUCUUAAUAUUUGAAUCUUAAUAUUAUCUAUCACUCGUUUAUUAAAUAAUAGAUUUCAUAGUUUGUAAAAUUACUUAACCACUUGAUAAAUGUUAUAUUUGUUGGGACUAGAUUGGGACUUAAAUAUUGGAAUAUCUAGUAUUGCAUAAAAAAAAAAAAACUUAACAAUUUAUCUUCACACGACUAAUUGUUUUUACAUCACAACUAACCUUAAUUAUUUUAAAAGUUAUAGUAUUAUUAAAUUGCCCUAACUAGUUAUCAAAAGGUGAAAGCAUGUUUAAAAAAGAAAUUACUAAGAAACAUUUGUUUAAACGAAGGUUAAGGUUAUGAUCAAUUAAUUAAGAAGAAACUUACUAUCAAAGGUUAAGAUUAUGAACAAUUUAAGGAAGUUAUUGAGUAGAGAAAGGGACAGAAUGGUUGUCUGAUUUGUCGGUGACAAGAAUGCUUGUGUUGUGAAAAGAAAGCCGAUGGUUUGUAAAUUUGUUGAAUUGGUCCCAAUUAGUAUAGUAACCAUCUAUUGAGCGGUAAAAUAUUAAUUUAAAUAGUCAUGAAAUCUAAUAUAUAAUAGAUUACUAACACACAUAAAUUAAAACUUAAUUGUCAGAAAUCAUAACAUUAUUCUAAGCUUCAGUGGAGUUCUCUUAACAGAUUAUGUGAGAUUGCCUAUAUUAAAAAUAUGUUGAGACUGCUUGUUGAAAGCAAUAUUCGCUUUUCCAUUAUAUCCAUAACUUUGAAUUGAUAAAGUUGUAUUCAGCAGCUCUUGAAAAGACUAAUUUAUUUUAACUAGUCAUAGAAAUAAGAGAGAAAAGGGGCUAUUUCUUGACUCAAAGUCAAUUAUAAUUAUCAAAACUUGAGGGGACAUCGCAUGCCUAAAUUCCACGCACCCUAAUACGGUUUGAUUUGCUUUCACGCGUUCAUGAAUUUCCAUGAAAGAGCCUGCCUUUCGUCUCUUUCGGGACAGUGACUACAAUAAUGGAAAAAAUUAUAAUUCUCGUUAGAUUGUAACCAAAUUAUUAUCCCUAAUUUUUUUAAGUUACAUAUAAUAAAAUUCAUGCUUAAGUAUUUAGUAAUUAGAGAGAGAUAGAGAGGAUUGAGGGCCAAUGUUUCGCGAUUUGGGGUCAAUUCAAAGUCAACUAACGUGAAAAACACGUGUAUGCAUAGAAAACGCUUAGAUUAUUUGUGUUCCAAGUGCAAGAAAUUAAGAAAAGAAAAAUUGAUUUCCUUUCAUGAACUUCCAAGAAAGAAAGAAGACCCUUCACCUUCUUCGUUACAACAAAUGAAUGAAUGAUGUUGAUAUGACAAAUACAAGCGCUAUUACAGGGAACAACAUAAGACUGAGACUUGAUAAAGUGUUUGUUAAAUUACAUGUUAUUUUCUUUUAACUUGAAUGAUGUUGAAAAUAAAAUAAAAUAAAAUUGUAAUCAGGGUGAUGUGUGGAAUAUAGUGAAAUAAAUAAAUAGAGAAGAGAAAUUUGUUGAUCAAUAUUAAAGACACAUCCAAAGUGAUCGUCAAAGUCUAGAGGUUCGGUAUGAUUAGCAUUUAUUUUAUUUUUUUUGGCUUAGCAUCAUAUAUAGUCACCUGUCGUGUGAUCUAGGACAGGUUUAGAAAUCCUUUUAUUUUAACUUCUGUAUUCUUAUUAUUUAAUUAGUUAUAGGGUUUUUAAGUAUUUGAGUAUUGAUCACAUGUCUCCUAAUCUAAAAAUAUGUUUUUACGAGUACAAAUAACAAACUAGGAUUUUAACAGCCUUUUAUACUAAACCCUAAAAAUACAUGAAUUUAUCAAAAUAAGUAAAUUAAUUUAAAUUAGUAUGGCAUAGUAGAAGUUUUACCUGCCGAAACAAAUUAAAAAAAUAUUACACUUAAAUCAAAUAUUGACAAAAAUAGAUAACAAUCUAAUGAGAAUCUUAACUAGACAUUUUUACUUCUAUCCAAUUUAACUGGAAUGAGAAUUAAGUCAUGUCAAUAGUUAGGACUCAUAACUCAUACACACUAAUUUGAGAGUGUGGGGUGUGACAAUGGGUCAAAAGACCAUUGACAAGUAUAAAAGAGUGGUCGUAAUUAAUUCAAACCGCUACACACGCUAUAUUGAGGGCCCACUUUUGUUUAUUUCGUUGAAAAGUAGUUUUCACAAUUAAUUCAAACUGCUACACAUGCUAUUGCGUUUUUUUUUUUUUUUUUUUUUUUGAAGGGAAGCAAUUUCAUUAAACCAAAACGAAUUACAGACUAUGUAAUAACCACAAAGGUGGAACGAAAUUCCACUCUUGGGGACCUGACAUAGAACCUACUGCCCUUGCAACAGAGUGAGCAGCCAGGUUCGUAGACCGACGUACAAACGAGAAUUGUACUUCUCCUAAAGACUUAGCUAAAGCUCGACAUUCAUCAACUAUUAAACCAAAACCGUUAGGCCCUGAAAACUCCUCAACUAGAGCUUGAAAUACUUGUAAACAAUCAGUUUCAACAAUGACACAAGGAAAUUGUAAGCCUUUAAGCCAACUAAGGGCCUCCCGAAUACCAAGAGCUUCAGCCUCCCUUGCUCCAAAAUUCCCAGCCAUUCCAGCACAUCUUGCUGUUAAGAAAACACCCUCUGAAUUUCGAAGCACACACCCAAAACCAAUAUUUCCCUGAGAUGAAAAGAUAGCAGCGUCAACAUUACGUUUGACCCAACCAAACUUUGGCCUCUCCCAACAUAUUGCCCCAUGGACCAGCUUAUGGACAUCAGUAUCAGCAUAGAAUUGUUGCUUCUUUGCUGCUUGCCACUGAUAGAGAAGUUGCCCAGCAGAAUUGAGCACUUGAUUCACUGAACCAGUUUUGUUAUUCCAUACUUUGUCAUUCCGAUUAAUCCAAACUCUCCAGCAGAUCAUCAUGGCAACAUGGCAUUCUUCUUUGCUGCAGCGUGUAAAGAUGUGAUCAAGCCACUCUAAGAAAGAAUAACAAUGGCCAACAAAACCCACAGAGGAAGAAAUCCAGCAAGCCUUAGCAACAUUACACUCAACCAACGAAUGGAGAAUAGUUUCAUCAGAAGCAAGACACACAGCACAAGUAGGGGGGAUAUUCACCCUCUUAGAAAUUAAAUUAACUGCAGUAGGCAGCACAUUAGUUGCCGCUCGCCAAACAAAAUUCUUAACCUUAUUCGGCACAUUCAAGUUCCAUAGUUUUCGCCACACAUCUGUGAAAGGGCCAGGGGUAAGAGAAUGUAAAACGUUAUAACAGCUACGGACUGAAUAGCAUCCGCGAGAAUCAGCCAACCAAUACCACACAUCAUCAUUUCGGCGGGAACUAAGGGGAAUUUGAAGAAUCAACUCCUUGUCUCUUGCGUUGAAAAGAUCCAAAACAAGAUCAUAAUCCCAAGCUCGUUGAUUAGGCACCAGUAAACUACUAACAGGAGCUGCAGCAAGCUCGGCAUGGAGAUUAGAAGGAACAAAUCCAUUAUUAGUAUCAGGAAGCCACGGAUCCUUACCAAUGAAGAUCGAAUUUCCACAGCCAACUUGCAGUCUACUCCCUUGAAUUACCACAUCCUUUGCAGCCAAAAUAGAGCGCCACAUAUAGCUAGGAUUAUGCCCCGCAGAAGCUUGAAGAACAGAGGUGCGCGGAUGGUAGCGAGCUUUAAUUAUCUUGGCCACAAGAGAUUCCGGACAAGUUAACAGCUUCCACAUUUCCUUUCCUAACAUCGCUAUAUUGAAUAAAUGAAGUUGUUUAAAACCAAGGCCACCAUAUCCUUUUGGUUUGCACAGAUUUUCCCAUUUGGACCAGUUUAAAAAAGAAAAAUGGAAUAGUUUUCCAAAAUUAAUUCAGAGAAGAAGAUUUACUAAUAAUGAUGUUAGAAAUCUUAAUAUUAUGUAUCACUCAUUUAUUAAAUAAUAGAUUUCAUAGUUUGUAAAUUUACUUAACCACUUGAUAAAUGUUAUAUUUGUUUGAAUUGAUCCAAUAGCUCUUGAAAAGCACAUAAUAAUCAUUAUAAAUUUAAUCAAAGACUAAGCAGGUCUUCUUUGCAUUUGAUCACUGGCAUUUCAGUUAAGUUUGUCAUUUAUUUAAAUUUUUCUUGCUUUCAAUUUCCACUGUUGUUUUUUUUAAUAAAAUAAUUUAUUUAAACUAGUCAUAGAAAUAAGAGAGAAAGGGCGCCAUUUCUUGACUCAAAGUCAAUUAUAAUUAUCAAAACUUGAGCGGACAUUGCAUGCCUAAAUUCCACGCACCCUAAAACGGUUUGAUUUGCUUUCACGCGUUCAUGAUUUUGCAUGAAAGAGAGUGCCUCUCGUCUCUUUCCGGACAGUGACUGCAAUUAUGUUAACGUGACGAAUACAAAACGUUAUUACAUACAAGAAUAAGUUUUUGGAGCCGAUACUUGAGGGAGGUUCUAUCUAAUUCUAAAGAUUGUAACCAAAUCAUUAUCCCUAAUUUUUUUAAGUUAAAUAAAAUAAAAUUCAUGCUUAAGUAUAAAUAAUUUUUUUAAGUUAAAUAUAAAAUAAAAUUCAUGAACUUCCUAGAAAGAAAGAAGACCCUUCACCUUCUUCGCGACAACAAAUGAUGUUGACAUGACAAAUACAAGCUCUAUUACAGGGAACAGCAUGAGACCGAGACUUGAUAAAUAUUAAAUAUAUAAAAUAAGUGGAGCAAACGAACAGAAUAAUAGAUUUUUAUAAUAUUCUUCAUAAAAAUCCAAGUUUUGAGCUGGCCUAUAAGCUUAUCUAGUGAAGUCUGGGUAUCCGCGUUGCCCAAGGUUCCGUUUGAAUCCAGGCCGUGUAGAUGUUUAAGACAUCGCAUAUGGACGGAGUGGAAAUAUUUUCAGUUGACUGAAUUAAAUAAAAAUAUAUUACAAUCAUAUUAUAUAUUAGCAGCAAAAAUAAAAAGAAAUGAAGAAAAACGCAUGCAAGACUUAGACAAGUCAAUUAAAAGCUGGGAGUAUCAUCAGUUCAAUUGAUUAUAAAUAGCGUAGAGCCAUCCUCUCGUUGUUGCAGAACUGAAGCAAAGAGACUCAGAAAGAGUGUGUGUAGGUGAUUAUAAUUAAGAAGAUAUAAUGUGUGGUUCAAAAAGAGUGUGGGUGAGUGAGUUAAUUUUCAUAUUAUUAGUAGUAAAAGGGUGGUGGAGUGAGGGAUGUUUGGAGCAAGAGAGGUCUGCUCUCCUACAACUCAGACAUUUCUUCAAUGAUGAUCAACUUCUUCAAAACUGGGUAGACGAUGAGUAUUAUUCAGAUUGUUGUCAGUGGGAACGGGUUGAGUGCAACGACACCACUGGAAGAGUGAUUGAAUUACAACUACUAGAAACUCGAAAACAGGGAUCAGCAGAGUGGUAUAUGAAUGCCUCUCUGUUUACUCCAUUUCAACAAUUAGAGUCUCUUGAUUUAAUGGGGAACAAUAUAGCCGGUUGUGUUGAAAAUGAAGGUCCUUAAUUUACUCUAUUUUAAUUCUUCCUCGUAAUUUCUUACAUUUAUCUGAUCCCUUUUGAUUUUUGUUUAAUUUAUUCGUGAUACAAUAAAAUUACUUUUUAUUUUUUGUCAGGUCUAGAUAGGUUAUCAAGGUUGAACAACUUGAAGUUUCUUUACUUAAACCUUAACCACUUCAACAACAGCAUCUUUUCAUCCAUAGGUGGUCUUUCAUCACUCAGACGCUUAUCAUUGGCUAGUAAUGAAUUGAAUGGAAGUAUUGAUAUUAAAGGUAAGCAAGCUUCAUCCCUUCUCCCGUGUCCCAUCUUUUGUGGAUCUUAUUUUAUUGACCGGCUGGAAGUAUUGAUAUAAGAUCUGGCUAGACUCUUGCUAGUUUAAGCUUCAAGGAUUUAAAUAUUAUAAAAAUAGGUUUAAGAAAUUAUCAAUAUAUGCAAUUUUCAAUGCUUCUCAUAAUCAGACACAAUUCAAUCUAAUUAUUUUGUAUGUCCUGUCUUCAAAAGUAAAGAAUUGUACACUAAAUGGAAAUCGACAUCGUAGCUUUUUAUUUUUUCUAAUGCUCUUUUUUCGUUAACGAGUUUAUAUCCUAAGAGGGAUUGGAUUGAAAAAAAAAAAAGUUUUGAUGUUCAAGGUAGGCCAUAAUAACCCGCAUCUUAUUUGUCUGCCUGUAUCUAAAUUUGUGCACUGAAUUUAGUAUUUUGGUUAUUGUGAAGGGAUCAGAUAUUGGCUUCCAUAGACCAACUUGUAUUUAGUUAAUUAAUUAAUUAACGACAUUUAAUAUUUAACAAAUUAAAAUUUCGUGUUUAAUCUAUUUUAAUUUUUUUAAGAAAAAAGAAAAAGAUAUAGCAAUAGGUAAAGCUAAAAUAAAUUUUAAUUCCUUACAAAUUUAAAUUCAUGGUUGUCAGCUAAAUAUACUUACUUAAAGCCACUCAGUCGAGCCCUUUGAGAGCUGCUUUAAAUUUUUAGCCAUAUUCUUUUCUUAUUAAUAAAAUUCUUUUCGCUGAGAUUUAACAUAAAAAAAGGAGAAAAUAAGUUAUUUAAUUAACUCUGUUUUAAGUGUUGGAAUAAAUACAGGACUGGAAUCCUUGAGUAACUUGGAGGAGCUGGGCAUGAGCGACAAUGCAAUCGACAAUCUAGUGGUUCCUAAAGGUAUACAAAAUGUUCAAAUAUUAAUAAUUUGGAGGACAGUUUAAUUGAUUUGAUUAGGGAAUGCCCAAUGACACUUACCCAAAAUAAUUUAAUCCGAAAUUGUAUCCCAAAUAGAUUACAGAGGUUUGAGGUAGUUGAAUACCUUUUAUUUGGGGAGGGGGGGGGGGGGGAGGGAGGGAAAUUGCAGUGAUAUAUGGAAGCAAGGUGUUGCAAUAAAUAAAGAAAUUCGUUGGUCAAUAUUCAAGGACUCAUCCAAAGUAAUCGUUAAAGUCUAAAGGUCUGCUCUCCUCCAACUCAAACAUUUCUUCAAUGAUGAGAAUUAUUCAGAUUGUUGUCAGUGGGAAGGGGUUGAGUGCAACAACACCACUGGCAGAGUGAUUAAAUUAGAUCUAGGAGCCACUAGAAAUCGGGAAUCAGCAGAGUGGCAUAUGAAUGCUUCUCUGUUUUCUCCAUUUCAACAAUUAGAAUCUCUUGAUUUAACUGGGAACAAUAUAGCCGUUUGUGUUGAAAAUGAAGGUCCUCAAUUUACUCUACUCUAAUUCUCCCUCGUAAUUUCUAGCAUUUAUCUGAUCCCUUUUAGCUUGUGUUUAAUUUGUACGUGAUACAAUAAAAUUAGGUUUUAUUUUUUAUUUUUUAUUUUUUGGCAGGUCUAGAUAAGUUAUCAAGGUUGAACAACUUGAAGUCUCUUUAUUUAGACUUUAACCACUUCAACAACAGCAUCUUUUCAUCUCUAGGUGAUCUUUCAUCACUCAAACACUUUUCAUUGGCUGGUAAUGAAUUGAAUGGAAGUAUUGAUAUUGAAGGUGAGUAAGCUUCAUCCCUUCUCCCGUGUCCCAUCUUUUGUGGAUCUUAUUUCAUUGAGCAGCUGGAGGUACUGAUGUUAGAUCUAGCUAGACUCUUGCUAGUUUAGGCUUCAAGGCUUCGAUUACUAUAAAAAUAGGUGUAAGAAAUCAUCAAUACAUGCAAUUUUCAGUGCUUCUCAAAAUCAGACACAGUUUAGUCUAAUUAUUUUGUAUGUCCCGUCUUUAAAAGUAAAGAAUUGUAUUGUAAUUGGAAAUCGACAACGUAGCUUUUCAUUUUCUGUAAUGCUCUUUCUUCGUUAACAAGUUUAUAUCUUAAGAGAGAUUGGAUUCGGAAAAAGUUUUCACGCUCAAGGUAAGCCAUAAUAACUUCUUUCUUCGUUAACAAGUUCAUUAGUUCAAUUGGCAACUGUUUUUUAAGUUUUUCUGGUUAGCCGUAUACUUUUUUGCUUAUUAAUAAAAUUCUUUUGCGCCGAGAUUUAAAAAUAAAGGAGGAGAAAAUAAGUUAUUUAAUUAACCUUGUUUUAAGUGUUGGCAUAAAUACAGGACUGGAUUCCUUGAGUAACUUGGAGGUGCUGGACAUGAGCUUCAAUGCAAUCGACAAUCUUGUGGUUCCUAAAGGUAUACAAAAUGUUCAAAUAUUAAUAAUUUGGAGGACAAUUUAAUAGAUUUGAUUAGGGAAUGCCCAAUGACACUUAUCCAAAAUAAUUUAAUCCGAAAUUGUAUCCCAAAUAGAUUACAGAGGCUUGAGGAAGUUGAAUACCCUUGUCUUAGGGGGAACGGAAAUUGCAAUGAUAGAUGGAAGUAAGGCGUUGCAAUCAAUAGGAUCACUACUGUCCCUCAAAACACUUUACCUUUUGUAUACUAAUUUUACAGGAACAGUAGUUAAUCAAGGUAAGUAAAUCUUUUAUGUCGAAAAUAAUUGAAUUAAUAUAUAUAGCUAAAAUUUAUUGUUUCUAUUUCUUUCUAAAUAGAAUUACACAAUUUCACCAACUUGGAAGAAUUGAUAUUGGUCGAGUCUGAUCUCCAUGUAAGCCAGCUUCUGCAAAGCAUCGCAUCAUUCACUUCGUUAAAGUAUUUGUCAAUGCAAGUUAGUGUACUCAAGGGUGCCCUGCAUGGUCAAGGUAAAUUACGGGUAUCUGAAGCUUUUGUGAUAUUAAUUCGAUAAUGAUUCUUUCUUUUCAAGUUUAUUUUCUCCCGUAAAAUAAUAUUUUUUUCUUUUAAAUUUUAUAUACUUUCACUGUCCAAUAGUUCUACCUUCUCUAAAUUGUAGGAUUCUUGAUUAAGGUUAAUGAAUUUUUAGUUCUGUUAUGUUAAGAAUAUUUCGAUCGCUUAGAAGAGUAAGGAAAAAUAAGUAAAUUAACCCAAAAAAGAGAAAAGAACAGGACCGGAUUAUCCUUAUUCCCUUGCAUUAUGUGAUCAAUAUCAAAAUUAUAACCAUUUCUUGUUUAUUGCUUGUAGAUUUUCAUAAAUUCAAGAAUUUGGAACAUCUGGACAUGGAUUGGGUGCAGGUUAACGUCAACACCAGUUUUUUUCAAAUUGUCGGCGAAUCGAUGCCUUCUCUCAAGUUUUUAUCACUGGCAAAUUCAAGUCUUAAUAAAAACACCAUUCUUGAUCAAGGUUAAUUAAUGAUUCUCCUUCUCCCUCUCUCGCAUCAUAACUAAAUUUAAUUGAGAAUAUCUAUAAUGCUAGCUAUUUAUAAACUUAAUGAAAGUUGAUGAGGAGCCAUAUUAAUGACAAAAACAACUGUAAAAUAGUGCGCUGUUGUAGCGUUGAUUGAAAAAUAAUGCUAAUGUUUUACUUAACAACACUAUAAGUGAUCAAACUUAAUUUUUAAUGUGUACUUUAAAGAUUUUAUGCAAUUAUUUAAGUUUUAUGCAAUUAUAUUUUUCAGGACUUUGUCGGUUAGUGCAUCUGCAAGAGUUAUACAUCAGCGGUAAUGAUUUGAGAGGUAGCUUGCCAUGGUGCUUGGCAAACAUGACAUCCCUCCAAGUGUUAGAUGCCUCUUCUAAUCAACUUACUGGAAACUUUUCCCCAGGCCUUUGUGAGUUGGUGCUUCUGAGAGAGUUAUACAUUCACAACAAUGAUUUAAGAGGUAGCUUGCCUUUGUGCUUGGCAAAUUUGACUUCCCUUCGAGUAUUAGAUGUCUCUUACAAUCAACUUACUGAAAACAUCUCAUCUUCCCUCAUGCAUCUAAUAUCUAUGGAAAAGCUCAUACUUUCAAAUAAUCACUUCUUCCAAAUCCCUAUUUCACUUAAACCACUUUUCAAUCUCUCAAAACUCAAGACUUUCGAGGGUGAAAUAUGCGCAGAAACUGAGUCACAUUAUAAUUCUUUGACCCCAAAAUUCCAAUUGACUUCUAUCUCACUGUCUGGUUACAUAGAUGGUGGCACAUUUCCCAAAUUCUUGUACCAUCAGCAUGACUUGAAGAAUGCUGAUCUCUCACACCUUAACUUGAGUGGAAAUUUUCCAAAUUGGUUGGUAGAUAACAAUACGAACUUAGAGACGCUUCUUCUUGCCAACAACUCUCUUUUUGGAUCAUUUCGGAUGCCAAUUCAUUCCCACCAAAAAUUGGCAAAAUUGGAUGUCUCCAACAAUUUCUUUCAAGGCCAUAUUCCGGUGGAAAUCGAAACAUAUCUGCCAGUCUUAAUGGGUUUAAACUUAUCUAGAAAUGCUUUCAACGGUAGUAUUCCCUCUUCAUUUGCUGAUAUGAAAAUGUUGGAAAGGUUGGACAUAUCCUACAAUCAGUUGACUGGUGAAAUCCCUGAGCGCAUGGCCACGGGUUGCUUCUCAUUGGAAAUUCUUGCAUUGUCAAACAACAGUUUGCAAGGUCAUAUAUUCUCUAAAAAAUUUAACUUGACAAAUUUAUUAAGGUUGCAGUUGGAUGGUAAUAAUUUCAUUGGAGAGAUCCCAGAAAGCUUAUCUAAGUGCCGUUUGUUAGGAGGAUUAUAUCUGAGUGAUAAUCAUCUCACUGGUGAGAUUCCAAGAUGGUUGGGUAAUUUGUCAUUUUUACAAGAUAUUAUAAUGCCCAAUAACAAUCUUGAAGGGCCAAUUCCAAUCGAGUUUUGUCAGCUUGAUUCUCUGAAGAUUUUAGACCUUUCAAACAAUAGUAUUUUUGGAACUUUACCAUCUUGUUUUAGUCCAGCAUCUAUCGAACAAGUUCAUUUGUCGAAAAACAAGAUAGAAGGACGGUUGGAAAGUAUAAUCCAUGACAGCCCCAAUUUGGUGACAUUAGAUCUCAGUUAUAACCGCUUACACGGAAGUAUUCCAAAUCGGAUUGACAGACUACCUCUGUUAAGCUACCUUCUUUUAGCUAAUAAUUAUAUUGAAGGCAAAAUACCAGUUCAAUUAUGCCAGUUGAAGGAAGUGCGGUUGAUUGAUCUUUCUCAUAAUAAUCUAUCUGGUCAUAUUCCUCCUUGCUUGGUUAACACUUCACUCAGUGAAGGUCAUCAUGAGGCAAUAGCUCCAACUUCUAGUUCGCGGGAUCAAGCGUCUGCCUCUGUACUUCCAUCUGAGGCUCCAAAUGGAUCUCCGAUGGGAAAGGAAGAAACUGUACAGUUCACAACAAAGAAUAUGUCCUACUAUUAUCAAGGAAGAAUUUUGACGAGUAUGUCUGGGAUUGAUCUUUCUUGUAACAAACUGAUAGGUGAGAUUCCUCCUCAAAUUGGAUAUCUUACAAGGAUUCAUGCGCUAAAUCUAUCUCAUAACAAUUUGACGGGCACAAUCCCGACAACAUUUUCAAACCUGAAGCAAAUCGAAAGCUUGGACCUCUCCUACAACCUAUUGCAUGGGAAAAUCCCUUCUCAGCUCACUGUGCUAACUACAUUGGCGGCCUUCAGAGUAGCAUACAAUAACUUAUCAGGCAAAAUUCCGGAUAGAGUUGCACAAUUUUCAACUUUCGAGGAAGAUAGCUAUGAGGGGAAUCCUUUUCUUUGUGGAUGGCCACUGUCUAAAAGUUGCGAUGAUAAUGGAUUAACAACAGUGACAACAGAAGCUUACACUGAAAAUGAAGAAGUUGAUAGUUUAAUUGACAUGGACAGUUUCCUGAUCACUUUUACAGUAUCUUAUGGAAUUGUGAUAUUAGGAAUUAUUGGAGUUUUGUACGUAAACCCCUAUUGGCGGCGAAGUUGGUUUUACCUUGUUGAAGUAUGUAUGACCUCUUGCUACUAUUUUGCAGCAGACAAUCUUGUUCCUAGAAAAUUCUAUGGUGGAUGGAUGUAAUUUCAUUACAUUACAACUUAUAUGUAAUUUUCAAAGAAUUUUCUUUUGCAUGCAUGGAAUAGCAACUCAAUAAAAGUAUUUGAUGCAAAUUGUCCAAGAACAACUUAGUAAUUUCAUUGCUACUAUUCGGUUGUAUGUAUACAGUUAAUGAAAUUUUUAACCAUUCGCAGAAUACCCUUAGGAAUUUCUUUAGAUGGCGGCAAAAAACUAAGAGAUUCGGGGCUCUACACGGUCUGAAUGAAGAUUAACUUAAUGCCCUCAGGAUUAUGUGUAAGUUCUCUUUUAAAUUUAAGGGGUUGAGAUUUCAGGUCCGGAUGAAAGUUGAAUGCAGGUGACGAGACUUCACUGGGACAAACUUAAAAUAAAAAAUUAUAGUCCACAGUAAGAGCAAUGGGUAGCUUAACUUAUGGAAGAUAACUAGAACUUGGAAUAACUUAAAUUAGCUAUAAAAUUAAGACCAUUAUACAACUAAAAAGAAAGAAAAAUUGUUUGCUACUACAUAUCAAAACUAGUAAUAGCAAUGAAAGAUGGCAGACUUCUUACUUAAACAGAUGAGAGGCUACAAAUAAAAAAUUUGUGCAAAUAAAUAUAUGAUAAAGAGCAUAAUACUUUCUUGGGGGCUAAAAAUAAUAUACAACUUGUGAAAUAUAAAUUGAGCUACCGUUACCUUUUAGAUGUGGCAACUUUCGACUUUUGAGGCACUUUGGAAUAUGCAUUCAGAAUCCUGCAUUUGGAAGCCAAAUAAAUAAUGUUAAUAACAAUUUUACAAUAGAAAAAUUAAAAAUUGAUAAAUGGCAGUUGUAAUUUAUGUAUGUGUAAAGAUAGCAUCACAUCCAGGGUCCUCCCAUAAACAUGCUUGUAACAAGAAUUAGUUUGCCUCAACUGCUAGCAACUAUACAAUAGUAAAAAUCACUCUUAUGAACUCAACAAUACUAGGCACCAAUAAGAGUAUGAUACAGCCAUUCUAAAUGGAAGAGAAUACAACUGUUUUACAACUAUGUUGCAUCAGGAGAUAUGUUAGGAGUUUUAAUCCAGAUACCUUCCAACCCAAUUAGGAAAACUCGAGUCAGAAACCAGGAGCUGCAACCGAACCUUACAAUCUUGAAGGAAGAAGGAGACUUGGGGCAUUUUUCUAGAUAGGUGACUUACUAGAUCUACUGCCAAGAAAAUAUCUAUUGCUUUGAACCUCCAUUGAAAUUUCUUUUCCCUUUUUCUUAUUUUGACUUGGAACUUUCCAGCAUCAUCUAUUUGAUCUUUUUUAAAGCUAAAAUAGCAAUCUACGGGUUGUCAACAUCUUAUCCCCCCCCCCCCCCCCCGAGGGGCCCCCAAAAAAAAAAACAUCAAUGAGUUGUCAAUAAAUAGCGCCUACUCAACUUAUGUUCUCCAAUGGAUGACAAUGUGCAAAUCGACCUAGCAGCCACAUUUUUCCCCCCUUUCAACCACCAUUAGGCAACUUUUCUAACCUUUCUUCAUUGCCCACGUCUACAGAACUAUCAUAUAAAGACUACAAGAUAGACGCACGGUAUCUAAAUAAUUGUACCAACCCCCUCUCCUGAUUGUCAUAAAACGGCCAAUAUUUAACGCUCGACAACAAAAUUGCAAAUACUCUAGCCUCUAUAUUAUUGGCAUAUAAAUAUUUUCGGUUAGGUACAUUAUAUUCUUCGUUCUAAAACCUCAAUUAUUAGCUAGUACUGUGAUAAAAUGAUUCAUCACUGAAAUUAAAACUAGUUCACGUACAAAUAAUCAAAACUGAAAUAGAAGCAACGAUAAACCAACCUGUAUUACGUCGAUUCAUCACAACAAACUGAAAUCGAGGCUGUGUGUUCCUGAAAAUUGAAAAAAAUAAUAAUUUCACCAACUUCAUAUGUAAUACAAUCUCCAAAACACUGAAUAUCAAAUGAAAAAAUGGAAAGCAUAAGAUAGAAAAGAAUCUAAUUUUAUUGACCUUUUGACGACGACGAGAGAGCCUUCAACAUCCUUACGACUCCAUUGGCUGAGGUCGAUGUUGAACUCGUAGAAGGUGACAUGAGCGGCCGUGAUGAGGAUCUCCUCAAUGAAUGGAUCGAUUCGCUGAAGAACUGUCAGGUUCAGGAGUUUUGUGCUCUGCUGGUCCAGAUUAAGCAUCAAUUUUCCGUUAUGCGACAUUUUUCAUAGUCGUUUUGGGCUCUGCCCCGAGCACAAGCCCCAGGGUUUUUCUGUGAGCUCUCUCUUUUGUAAAUAAAGUGUUUGAUGAGAUAGCCGAGAGAGAGUGAAAGUGUUGAACAGCCAAACACGGUCUCGAGAUUGAUCUUCCUUUAACUUCUUUUAAACAUUUGGGAAAUAGCAUUUAUUUCUUUUAGUUUCUCUACUUUUUUUUUCCUUUAUGUCAUUUAGACCCCAAAAUUAGAUUUAUUAUAAUCCUAUUUUACCCAUACACUAUUAACCCCUUUUAUUUUUAAAAUUUGUCAAUAUUAAUGUGUUAGAAUAAUGUUAAAAAUCUCAAUUAUUAUCUCAAUGUUUCAAUCAUAACUAAUGUGAUGACUCAUUGGUAACUGCAACAUUAACUUAAUUAUUAAUGUAACACAAUAAAAGUUUGCCACUUCGGCAUUGGUCGGAGUGGUGGGAUGCUUGUGAGGGCAGCGGUUCAAGCCCCCACAAAAGCAUUUGUGGGGGCUAACGUUGUGGGGGCUAACGUGCUUAUUUGUUUAAUAUUUCAAAAAUUUCCUCUCCCUCGUGCAAUACGAGUGGAGUAUGGACAUCCCUCUUCUGUAAGGGAUUAUUUGUCUGGGCAUGUACUUCACAGAAUUCAAUGUAAUAAUAUAAGUCCCAAUCAUGUAUUUCUGAUUGUAAAUAUCAGUGUAAUAUAUCUGCUGUUGAUGCGAGAUUCUGGUUCUCCUCGUUCUACGACCAGGAUCUCUGCUCGAUCAACUUUACCACGACCAGGAGGUCUCCUAGUAAUGCUUCUUCUCCAGAUGUCCCUGCACACACAGACAAGUCAGAGUACGCCGGUUGUUCUCCCGGCGCAAACCCUCCGACGCUCAAGUCAGAUAUGAAGGUUCGGGGAACGCUUGCCACAGGUCUUAUGGCUUUUUCGUGGUUUUCUCUUUUAUCUUAAAAAUGCUAACCCUUUUACCUUCGUUGGCUACCUUUUUAUAGGCUUCUCCGAAUCCCCGUUUUCCGCUUUUUGCCAGACGGUAUGGGACUCUGACUGCUGCGUCAUGGGCGAAGGUGGGAUCUUGCGUGUUACGCCACGGUUCUGGGGAAAGCGUGGCUGUCGUGCCUAGAUUCUCGGGCUGGAGAGCAUGUCUUGCCAACUGCCGUCGACCGGGUCUCCUCGCUUCUCGACCUCUAGCCGGAAUGAUCUUAUGCCUCUUACAGGAAAUUGACCUCGCGGAUGACGUGCUCGUGGACGAGCAGGAUAUUUCUGCUCCUGUUCCCCCGCGCAUCAGGCUUUUACGGAACACACCGGCUCGAGGAACUCUGCCCCCAGAUAUCUGCUCACCAUGCCUGGUCUCGUCGACGUAUUUCUCCUAAACACCGGUCCCCCAGUUUCUGGUGUUGGGUAAUGUAGUGGACCAGCAGUAGAAACUCGAUAGUACUCGCUCACGUGGGACUGGAAAAGGCUGCCAAGAGUCGUGUCGCAUUUAAUUGCGGACGGGGUGACGUGGCGAAAAUCCCCCCCUCCAUUUGAAUUUCAAACCGACGGUUAUGAGGCCCUCGGGAUUCGGCGCUGUUAAAUGCUGGCAACCCAAGAGUCCGUCCCCAUUAGAAAAACCAAAUCCUCUCGAACGGCAUAUUCAUCAUCCACUACGUCUCCGUCUCUGUCUCUCCGGCAAAGAAGUUCCGGCAUAAAAGUCCUCCAUCUCUGAUUUUCACCGACUGAACCAUUACUUCAGGUAUUUCUUCUAUCUCCUUGGCCUCGGAUAGUUGUAGAUAAUUUCUCUUUUCUUCUGUUUGGGUAGUAGUUGGUGGUGUUGUGGUUAGAGCUUAGGGAAUGUCGAAAGGCAAAGAGAAGGUCAUUGAGGUUGACGACGACGAGUUGGACUUCCUGCCUAGUCUGCUCACCGACCCUGCUUUUGACCCCGGGAUUCCCUUAGAGCCCACUAGGUCUAGUGUCGGGACUAGUGCUAGGAGGAUGUCUCCCCAAACAACCUCUACGAGCGGAAGUAGUGGUGAGGAGAGAUCUUCUGACUCUGAGGAUACGUUGAGUGAGAAUGGCGAAGGUGAUUCUGGUGAGGUGUCUCCAUCUAGAACAUCACGACCAGGAGAACGGGGUACAGUAGGAGGCAGAGCCUUGUCGCGCGAUUAUGCCAUUGAUUACAUGACGUGCACGACCUCGUUUGACGAGCUCAAGGACCUCCGGCUUAGGUAUAGCAUUCCUGGUGAGAUACCUCUCAAGGUCCCAGGAAAGAAGGAUGCUCCCAGCCGGCCUCCUAGGGGAUACGUUACCCUGUUUUUAGAGAGCUUUAAGUACGGGCUGAGGUGUCCCUUGCAACCCUACUUUGCCCGGAUACUUAACGGGCUAAACCUAUCUCCUGGUCAGCUGAAUCCCAAUGGGUGGAGAGUGCUCUCUGGUCUGUUCAUAUUGUGGGACAGAUGUUGCCAGAGCGAGCCCACGGUUGAUGAGGUGAGACACCUGUACCAGCUAAAGAGCAGCCCCAAAGAUGCCGGCUGGUACUACUUCCAAUCUAGCACCAAGAGCAGGAAACCUAUAACCGACCUCCCCACUGGUGGUGGUGGGAAUUGGAAGAGAAAGUUCUUUUUUGCUGGGGGUCCUUGGGGUCAGGUUGCACAAAUGAACGGGAAGGAUUAUCGGGUCCCACCCCGUUUCACGGUCCCAGGUUGCCUGCUUGCUUUUAGAUGUCUUGUAUCCAUAAGUGUUCUUGCUUUAUUGGCUUGUCUCUAACCAAGUGUCUGUUUGUGUUGUAGUUUCUUGGGGUGUUCACUUCCCGCUCCCACCCGACCAGCUCAAACGGGUCGAGGAUGUGCUCGCCAAUUCCUGCUCGAGCCGGGAACUGUUAACUACGUACAACUUGCUCGAGUCUCGCUUGAUACUUCCUGGCCAUAGGAUGGAGGACGCUGUGAUUGGGGCUCUGACCCGAAAACGUUCUCGACCCCCAACCACGAAGAGGGACCAGAGUAAGGAUGCCCCUGUGGCAAAGCGGGCCAACAUCGUGCAGCAGGUCCCACCCUUGAAGAUUUUACCUCCUGCUCCCGUAAAAAUUGGGGAAGCUGGUGGAGCUGCCACAGAUCCUGCUUCCUCUCCUCCUCCUGUCGGGCCCCGAUCUCACUUACCUGACAGCCGAGCAGAACAUCUGGUCCUCUACUUCAAUGAGUUAACUAAACUCGUGAGCAGGAAGGAUCUGGAGGACUUUGACGGCCGCACCUUGGGUGAGUUGGUGGGGGCCAUGCAGCAUAGCGCUUUCCACCUCAGCUGCAUGACCACCUAUUACAAGGCUAAGGUUGGCCGCUAUGACCGGAAGAUGAAGGAGGAUAUUCAAUCGGCGACGACCAGAGCUGACGUUGCCGAGAAGAAAGCAGGGGAGCUGAAUCUCGAGAAUCUGAAGCUGAUGGAGCAAGAAUCACUUGCUCAAGCAAAAGCCAUCGCCCUCGAGGAGGAGCUUAUCAAGGUCAGGGAGGAUCUGCAAAGGCAGAAGACAAUGUAUGAGGCUCAGCUCGAAUCUCUUCGCGACUCCCACCGAGCUCAGGCCGAGAACUUGGAGAGGGAGGCCGACAACCAGUACGACCAGGGACUUCGGUAUUCCUAUCGUUGCAUCAUGGCCGUCCUCGGGAAGCAACACCCUGAUCUGAAGAUGGGUGACCUUGCGGCUGGUGUUGCUCAACAUAUGGACGAGGAGGCGGCCAAGGAGGAUGCCAAAGGGGUAGAGCCGAUCGUGAUAGAGGAGGAAAACUCUCCUCCUCAUGUAGUCCCUGCUGAUGUUGGCGAGGCGAGCACCCACCCCAAUGCCUCUAGUGAUACCCCUCCUGCACCUGAGGAGGUCCAGCCAACCGAUGCCGCUGGGCUCACUGAUCCACCAUCUUCUUGAUAUAUUUCUUGUAUUGUAAUGACAAUGUUUAUGAAGAUUAUUCCCUCUGUUAAUUAUUAACAAAUUAAUAAAAAUGUUUUUGAUCACCUUCUUGUGUCGUAAUUACGAAUUAAUUUUCGUUUGAGAAUCUGCUUGUCUUUGUCUAAACGAGCAGGUUCCGGCUUGGCUCAUGGUUUUGCCACAUGCCUUUGAAGAUUUUUCAAUGCUUGGGAUUCGGUUUGCCUUCGCGCAGUUGAGCAGAUCCUGGCACGCUUGGCUUCUGUCUCGCCAUAAGAUAGGCUUUGAGACUUGACGAGCCUUUGCAUGCCUUGGAUUCUUCAAAGCUCAGGAUUCUGCUGCCUUCUCGUGGCCGAGCAGAUCCUGGCAUGCUUGGCUUCUGUCUCGCCAUAAGACAGGCUUUGAGACUUGACGAGCCUUUGCAUGCCUUGGAUUCUUCAAGGGUUGGGAUUCUGCUGCCUUCUCGUGGCCGAGCAGAUCCUGGCAUGCUUGGCUUCGGUCUCGCCAUAAGACAGGCUUUGAGACUUGACGAGCCUUUGCAUGCCUUGGAUUCUUCAAGGGUUGGGAUUCUGCUGCCUUCUCGUGGCCGAGCAGAUCCUGGCACGCUUGGCUUCUGUCUCGCCAUAAGACAGGCUUUGAGACUUGAUGAGUCUUUGCAUGCCUUGGAUUCUUCAAGGGUUGGGAUUCUGCUGCCUUCUCGUGGCCGAGCAGAUCCUGGCAUGCUUGGCUUCUGUCUCGCCAUAAGACAUGCUUUGAGACUUGACGAGCCUUUGCAUGCCUUGGAUAAUUUCUUGGUUUCAAGCGUAAAAUUGCUUCAUUAAUGGCAGGAUUCGACUUACAUAAAAUUGUUUGGGACAUAAAGCGUAAAAGAUAAACGAUAAUGAGCAUGAGCAGAAAUAGCUCUCAAAUGUGAACAAAUCUUACUGGAAGUAUUUUCGGAGGUGUGCUGCGUUCCAUGGGCGUUUCACCUCGUGGCCGUCCGCGCGAACCAGCCUGUAAGCUCCGGGUCCCGCUAUCUGCUUGACUCUAUAUGGCCCUUCCCAAUUCGGUCCCAGCACUCCUUGAGUCGAAUCUUUGGUGCUCUGAUUCACUCUUCUCAGUACCCAGUCUCCGACCCUGAAUUGCCGUAUGUUCACCUUCUGGUUAUAAUACCGAGCAACCCUCUGUUGGUAAGUGACUGAUCGCUCGGCUGCUUGCUCCCUCCUUUCCGUCAGCAGAUCAAGAUUCAAACAUAUCUGCUCGUCGUUCUCCUGCUCAUUGAAAUGAUCUGUCCGGUGUGUGGUCGUUCCUAUCUCAGCCGGCACGACCGCUUCGUGUCCGAAAGCCAAAGCGAACGGUGUCUCCCCCGUUGCGGUUUUGUGGGUUGUUCUGUAUGCCCAUAGCACACCUGACAGCUCGUCAACCCACGCACCCUUUUUUGCACCAAGCCUGGUUUUCAAAAGCCUCUUGAUGGUCUUGUUGGCUGCUUCUACUUGUCCAUUCGAUUGAGGGUGAGCAGGCGAGCAAUACUUCAGCUCUAUCCCGAGGUUCUGGCAGAAAUCCCUGAAGCUGUGAUUAUCGAACUGCCUGCCAUUAUCCGUUACCAAGGCAUAAGGGAUCCCGUAUCGACAGACCAGGUUUCUCCACACGAAGUCUGUUGUUUUCUUCUCCGUGAUCCUGCUAAGGGCUUCCACCUCUAUCCACUUCGUGAAGUAAUCUAUAGCAACUAUUGCAUGUGUUGCUGCUCCUCGUCCUUUUGGCAAUGGGCCGAUCAGAUCAAUUCCCCAUUGAGCAAACGGCCAAGGGGAGGCCAUAGAGGUGAGCUUCUCUGGUGAUUGGUUGGAGAAAUUUACAAAACUCUGGCAGCUUGCACAACCCCUGGUCUUCUUUUGCGCAUCCUGGUGCAUUGUCGGCCAGAAAUAUCCCUGCCUUAGGACCUUGUGGGCCAGGGACCUCCCGCCAGAAUGAUUUCCGCAAAUUCCUUCAUGUACUUCUCUCAGCACGUAAUCCGCGUCGUCGUCAUCCAAACACCGAAGGAACGGUAAUGUGUAUCCUCGCCGAUACAGUACCCCAUCGAUCAUCGUGUAUCUCGAGGCCUGAGCUCUAAUCUUCCGAGCUCGCAGCUUAUCUGGUGGUAAUACCCCGUCUCUAAGGUAUGAAACUAUCGGGUCCCUCCACGAGCAUUUUUGUUCUAUCCGCAACACCCCCAAAUUCUGCUCGAUACUUGGGCUGGACUUCACUUCUAGAGGGACGGACUUUGGCAUUUUUGGGUCGGCUACUGCUGCCAUCCUAGCCAAAAUGUCUGCUCGACUAUUCUGCUCCCUGGGGAUUUGUAUCACCUCCACUGCUUCGAACUUCCCCAUCAUCUGCCUGACUAUCUUCAGGUACUGUUCCAUCUUCUCCUCUCUUGGUUGGAAUCUUUCACUGACAUGAUUCGCAACCAGCUGGGAAUCAGUUCUGAUCUUAACUCUGUCUGCUUUCACGGCCCUAGCCAAUUCCAGGCCUGCUAUCAAGGCUUCGUACUCUGCCUGGUUAUUUGUGACUGCAAAUUCCAACUUUACAGCAUAAGAGAUCUCCUCCCCCUCUGGGCCUUCCAGGACAAUCCCUGCUCCUGAACCCCGCUCCCCUGAUGACCCAUCUACAGACAUCUGCCAUACUUGAGUUUCGUCAUUGCCUAUAACUGCAUCUUGUUGACCUAAGCAUGUUUCGGGCUCUGUGAAUUCAGCUACGAAAUCGGCCAUUGCCUGGGCCUUUAUCGCUGCGCGGGGUUUAUAGUCUAUGUCGAACUCGCUCAGCUCUACAGCCCACUUGACGAGCCGCCCAGAGGCAUCUGGCUUGUGCAGAGUCUGACGCAAUGGCUGGUCUGUUAUUACCGAGAUCGGGAAGGCUUGAAAAUAUGGCCUCAACUUCCGAGCAGCAACCACAAGGGCAAGUGCCCAUUUCUCCAACGGUGGGUACCUGGUCUCAGCGUCGAGCAGGGCCUUGCUGGUGUAGUAUAUCGGAUACUGAACUCCUUCUUCCUCUCUCACCAGAACAGAACUGGCGGCCCGAUCCGAUACCGCCAAAUACAGAUACAACUUGUCCCCAUUCCUCGGUGUGGACAGCAGCGGAGCUUGCUGCAAGUAUUGCUUCAAGUUCCGGAAGGCUUCCUCGCAUUCUGGGGUCCAUUCUGUUUUCUUUCCCCUCCUUAUCACUUGAAAGAAUGGCUGACACUUAUCUGUAGCUUUGGAUAUGAAUCUGCUCAACGCCGCCAACCUCCCCGUGAGGCCCUGCGUCUCCUUCAGGUUACGAGGAGACGUCAUUUGCACAAUCGCCUGGAUUUUCUCGGGAUUUGCUUCAAUCCCCCUAUGGCUCACCAUGAAUCCCAGGAAUUUCCCUGACUCGACCCCAAAAGCACACUUCUCCGGAUUGAGCUUCAUCUUAUACUUCCUCAAAAGCUCGAAUGUCUCCUCGAGGUGUCUGACAUGUUCCUUCGGGAUCUUGGACUUGGUGAUCAUGUCAUCCACGUACACCUCCAUGGUUUUCCCGAUCAACGGCUUAAAGACUUUGUUCACCAGCCUUUGAUAGGUGGCCCCAGCAUUCUUGAGACCGAAUGGCAUCACCCUGUAACAGAACAAACCUUGGUUAGUGAUGAAAGCCGUGCUCUCCUCAUCCUGCUCGUACAUGGGGAUCUGGUUGUAUCCCGAGAAUGCGUCCAUGAAGCUAAGCAGACCAUGUCCAGCUGUUGAAUCUACUAGCUGAUCGAUCCUUGGUAAAGGGAAGCUGUCUUUUGGGCACGCCUUGUUGAGGUCUGUGAAAUCCACACACAUCCUCCACUUGCCGUUUGCCUUCUUUACCAACACCACAUUUGAUAUCCACUCUGGGUAACUGACUUCCCGAAUGAACCCUGCUCUCAGGAGCUUCUCCACCUCGUCAUUUACAGCCUCAUACCUCUCCUGGUUGAAGCACCUCCUCUUCUGCCUUACUGCCCGAGCACCUUUCUUUAUUGCCAGCUUAUGACACGCUACCUCAGGGUCAAUCCCUGGCAUGUCUUCAUGUGUCCAGGCAAACACAUCAGCAUGAGCCUGUAAGCAUUUCACCAACUCCUGCUUUUGCUCUCCCUUCAGUCUCGACCCGAUUCUGAUCGUCUUUCCCGGGUUCUCUGGUCCCAUGCUUACCGUUUCCAGAUCCUCUACAGGUUCUUGUCUGCCAGUCUUGUUUUCUACUCGGGUAUCGAAGGAUGUUAUCUGCAUUGCCUCCCUUGCUGCCGAGGAGUAGCAGCUUCUUGCGAUCCUCUGGUCUCCUCGUACCACUCCUACUACCCCAUUCACCCGGUACUUCAGAGCCAGAUAAUGGUUGGACAAUACCGCUUUGCUCAUCCUUAAAAACGGCCGACCUAGGAUCAUCUGGUAAGGACCUUCCUCAUCCACUACGACAAAGUCCAGUAUCAUUGUUCUUUCUGUUAGGGGGCUCCCAAUUGUGAUAGGUAGUUCGACCACGCCCAGGGGAACCAGCUUCCCUCCUCCGAACCCCUUCAAGGAGGUGUUGGUGUAUUCCAACUUCCGGUCGGCUAUUCCCAUCUCUUCCAGGGUUGACUUAAAUAACACAUCAACUGAGCUCCCUGUAUCAACCAGUAUCCGGUCAAACUUCUUGCUAGCGACCGUAGCCUUGAUGACUAAGGCAUCCUCGUGGGGGUAUAGGAUCCCUUCCUCAUCCUCAUCCGUCCACAUGAUUGGCACUUGCCUGACCCUUGCCCGUUUGGCUGCUGGGGUGUUGAGGAGUACCUCUUUACUGGUCAUGGCGUACCUAGCAUAAUUUUUUCUCGAUCUGUUUGAAUCUCCGGCCAACGUUGGGCCCCCCGCUAUCACCCUUACUGCGGGCUGCUCGUGCCUCAAGAUUCUAUCACUCUGCUCCCCUUCAUCUGUUGUGGCCACCAUCGGGAAAGUCCCAUCCAUAAACUCGUCCAGGUACCGAUUUCUCACCAAAUCUUCGACUUGGGUCUUGAGAUCUCUACACUCUGCUGUGGUAUGGCCAUGGGUGCCAUGGAACUUACAAUAACGUCCUCUAUCCCUCCUGUUGGGUAGCUUUGUUAUUGAUGUAGGGAGGUGCAGCAGCCCUCGAUCCUUUAUAGCCUCGUACACCUCAUCCAGGGACAUCUUCAAGGGAGUGUACCGCCCAUAGUCCUGGUGCUGGUCGAUCCGAUGUACUGCUCUUUCUCUGUUUGUCCCGCUCUGAGUUGGGGGCGGUAGAAGUACUUCUGGUCUGCUCGUCCUGCUACCGUGGGAAUGUUGAUGAAGACCACCAGAUGCCGGAUCAUUUCUUGUCCAAGGUUCCCUAGCUGGGGAACGAGGAGGUUGCGCCCUGCUGCGCUGAUACUGUGGUGGCCUCUGAUGAGGCUGGUAAGCAGUGACCCUGCCUCCUGCUCCACUACCGGAGGCCUGGUGGUCCCUCCUCCUGAUCGGCCCGUUCCCUGGUAAUGCUUUCAUCUCUCUCCUCCCCAACCCUUCUAUCUGGUCUGUCUUGAUCCGUGCAGCCUUCUCCUCUUCAAUCUCGAUGUCUCUUUUAGCCUGUUCGUAUGCGGCCGCAUACGUUUGAAUAGCUGGGCUUCUCAAAUUGUACCACAGCCUUCCUAUCUUCACCCCUUCUUUCAAUCCCCUUAACGCCUGAGGGUGGUUGAAGGCUCCCAAGUCGAGGACAGCCCGAUGAAACCUCUUGAUGAAUUCCGGAAGGGUUUCUUGCUCCCCCUGUUUCAUGCUUUUUAGCUCCAUCAUGUCAUCUUCCGGUGACAUUGCCCUACUGAACUGCUCCGCGAAUUCCUGGCACAUCUGCUCGAAGGUUUUAAUGCUGCCCCGAGGAAGUUUCAUGUACCAUUCUCGUGCACGUCCCUCAAGGGAUAGUGGGAACACCCUGCACCUUUGGGAUUGAGAUAAUCCUUGUACCCCAGUUAUGUCGUUGAAGCGCUCUAUGUGCAUCAGCGGGUCAGUUCUUCCCGUGUAUCUGAAGUCGGGGAGGCGGAAAUCUCUCGGAAUAACUGCCCUCAUGAUCUCUGCUGCGAGCGGUGAUUCUCCGUCCAGCAUUAUCCUCCAACCAGGGGCUCUGUUCCUCCCUUGCAUAUCGUCAAUUAUCUGCGCUAGUCUGCGCACUUCCUCCUCCAGCUGCCCUGCACGACCAGGGUCACGUGCUGCAACUUGAUCCCGCUCUUGCUCUACAUCUUGCAAGUGUUGCCUCAACUCGGUUUCCUCUGCAUUCACCACCCCGUCGUCCGCGUCACAAGUCUGUCUUGCCGGGGACCGCUCUCUUUCUCUAUGAAAUUCUCCCCGUAGAGGUGCGUUACCUCUCUCACCACCAAAUCUCCCUGUGGUUUGACUUCUCCCCGCACUAUCGGGACCUGGUGCCACUCCACCGCCUCUCACCCUUCCCUCUUGAGUUACCCUUCGCUCGCUCCGUAGCUCAUGCAGGAUGGUUGUCAAGGUCUCCAUCUGCUUUUCCAUCCGUUCCAUCCGGUCGAACAUGACUUUUCCCGUGCUUCACUGACUAUCUCCCUCAGCGUCACGAAAUCGUUAAGCCUCAUAUCACCCCCUUGUGCACUACUUCCUCCUGUCUCCAUUGCUUUUUGCUUACUCCACCCCUCUUCUUGCUAUCAACAGAAGCUUUUUGCUCUGGGUCCCCACAGACGGCGCCAAAAUGUUGAUGCGAGAUUCCGGUUCUCCUCGUUCUACGACCAGGAUCUCUGCUCGAUCAACUUUACCACGACCAGGAGGUCUCCUAGUAAUGCUUCUUCUCCAGAUGUCCCUGCACACACAGACAAGUCAGAGUACGCCGGUUGUUCUCCCGGCGUAAACCCUCCGACGCUCAAGUCAGAUAUGAAGGUUCGGGGAACGCUUGCCACAGGUCUUAUGGCUUUUUCGUGGUUUUCUCUUUUAUCUUAAAAAUGCUAACCCUUUUACCUUCGUUGGCUACCUUUUUAUAGGCUUCUCCGAAUCCCCGUUUUCCGCUUUUUGCCAGACGGUAUGGGACUCUGACUGCUGCGUCAUGGGCGAAGGUGGGAUCUUGCGUGUUACGCCACGGUUCUGGGGAAAGCGUGGCUGUCGUGCCUAGAUUCUCGGGCUGGAGAGCAUGUCUUGCCAACUGCCGUCGACCGGGUCUCCUCGCUUCUCGACCUCUAGCCGGAAUGAUCUUAUGCCUCUUACAGGAAAUUGACCUCGCGGAUGACGUGCUCGUGGACGAGCAUGAUAUUUCUGCUCCUGUUCCCCCGCGCAUCAGGCUUUUACGGAACACACCGGCUCGAGGAACUCUGCCCCCAGAUAUCUGCUCACCAUGCCUGGUCUCGUCGACGUAUUUCUCCUAAACAUCUGCUAUAAUAGCAGUUGUAAAUAUAUGUGUAAUGCAGUAAUAUGAUGAUUAAUCAGUAUUCAAAACACAAUAAAAGUUUCGUACAGAUUUUGAUAUUGAGAGUAACACAAUAAAAGUUUCAUACAGAUUUUGCAAACGAAAAGCACAUAAUACACUUAACUAGGAGGAAAAAUUAAGGUGUAUUUAUUACAAAUUGCUAACAAUAUACAAUUGUAAAAAUCACUCUUAUGAACUCACAAAUACUAGGCAGCAAUAAGAGUAUGAUACAACCAUUCUAAAUGAAAGAGAAUACAACUGUUUUACAACUAUGUCACAUCAAGAGAUAUGUUAGCAGGAUUAAUCCAGAUACCUUCGAACCCAAUUAACGAACUCGAGUCAGAAACCAGGGGCCCCUAACUAAACCUUACAAUCUUGAAGGAAGAAGGAGACUCGUGGUCCAGAUAGGUGACUUACUAGAUCUCCUGCAAAAGAGAAUAUCUAUUGCUUUGAACCUCCAUUGAAAUUUUUUUUUCCCUUUUUCUUGUUUUGACUUGGAACUUUCCAACAUCAUCUAUUUGAUCUUUUUUUAAGGUAAAAUAGCAAUCUAUAGGUUGCCAACAUGUUAUUCUGCCAAACCCCACCCCACCCCCCCGGGGGACAACAAAUCGACCUAGCACACACCUUUCUUCAUUGCCCACACCUACAGAACUAUAAUAAAAAGACUACGUUACUAUUGGGGUAGAGAAAAUAUACAGACUGUAUUAUUAUUACAUCGCAUUUUACUAAUUAACUAGUGCAAGACUUCUUUAGUGUCAAAUCAAGAACUAAUUAGAAAAGACAACUCAUGAUAAUACAGACCUUAAUAAGCAAUUGCUAACAACAUCCCAUAUACUCCUAUUUUAGCCUUCAUUAUCCUGGUAAAAACACAAAUAAGUCUUGCAAACGAACAUUUAUAAGUAAAUUCAACAUUAAUUAAGAUUAGGUAUCUACUGCACCUAAUAGCAUGGUCAACCAUCUAGUUCCUGUAGCCUUCCAUGUACCUAUGUUAGUUACAUUUUACAUAUUAAGCCACGAAAACGAAGAAUCACAGCCUGGUAAAGAAAGACAUUAAUUAAUAGUUUUUGUUUAAAAAGUUCUCCUUUAGAUCUUUCCUAUUCAAUGAAUCAAUGUAAUCUAAAGAGAACUCUUCCAUUUCAAACAGUGUUAGAAGGUAUUUGCAAAGCCUAAAGAUAAUAUACAAGGACCAAGAUAUACACAGAUGGUUUCUUUAUGGAAUUAAAGAGCUUUAUAGAUGUUAAAACUGUUUCAAACAAUUUUUCUUGUUUGGUUUAACUAAGGAAAAGCUUGUGGAAGAUUAAAAAUGAUGUUUCCUAUUCUCUGUAGGAAACUUUUAGGAGAUUUUUUGGGCUUUUUUGAAAGGUUGAAUUGUCAAAAAUACCUUGAUGUUAUUGUUUGCUAAAAGAUGUUACGGACAUCUAAACAACCAACAACAUUUUGUUAAAAGCUCUACUAGUGUAGGAUCUACUUAAAGAAGCUAUACCAAACAGACUCUUAGACUGAAUAACUCGAUCUUAAGUUUGUAAAAUUGGGCUCAGAAUCUCCACUAACAACCCCGCUUCGGUGAGAAAGCCCAAGCCUGUUACUUUGUAUAACCUUAUUCUGUAUGUUUGAUUGCAGGAACUGGCCGAUCAUACCGACGAGGUGAGUGUGCAACAUGAGGUGCUUGACGGGAUGUUUACUUUCUAUGAUUCAACUAAAGCUAGCCUCAACAUAUAUCAGGUGCCUGCUUGUUUUUACCUUCUAGAUACUAAUAUUGUUUAGACGUGUAAUCUCUCUCUCCAUUGAACGCUAGACGGCUCGUCUCAAGCCUUCUACGUACUUCAGAGUCCUUCACUAGCUUUUUAUGUAUAAAGUUUUGAUCUUUUUCCUUCAUUUGCUUGAAGCUCAUUACUGCAGAUUUUUUUUACAGGUUGGUAGUGUAACAUUCGACUUGCUGUUGCUUCUAGUCUUGGGAUCGUAUUUAAUUGUGCUUUUCAGCUUUCUUGUCAUAACAACUAGGGUAUCACUCUUUCUCCAUAUCAAGCUUGAAGUUCUAAAUUUCAGUUUUAUCUUGUAUUUGAUGUUUUAUAAUUUCAUUGCAAACAGAUUAGAAUAGAAACUUCAAAAGUUCCAACUGACUAGUCCCGUGUAACUUUUUCAGGGAAGAUUUUCUCUCAUAACAACUACGAACGUGUUAUGGUUUAGCCCAGUGACACAAAGGACAGUUUUCAACAAUUGAUCCUAGGAAGAUGCCCAUAGCUUGUUGUGCCAAAAAUAGAAAAUCUAAGAUGCGAAAAAAUUUUGUUGAGAUUCAUUUUUCAUCCUGAUGUUACCGCUGGCCUUUUUUUUUUUUUUUUUUGGCAGAGAAUAAUGCUUAUGUGAUUUCUGAACUUGGUGAUUGUUGAAAUGAGCUGAAAAUGAGCUGGAAAUGUGUUUGGUUAAUGAGAAAGAGAGCAAGAAAAUGAAAGAAAUCUAUUUCACUUUUUAUUUAUCAGCAUGAUUACAUUCACAAUGAAUCUAAGCUGCUAUUUAUACUUAAAUGACUACACACGAGAAUCUUCUUGCUAGAUACUUCUAGAAACUCUACACGCACACUCACACUGAGCUAGUGGUUACCAAAACCGUUACAACGAUAUUGCCAGCUCAGCAUAACCAACUUAUAACUAACACACUCAGCUGCAGGGGAAACCAUCAAGCUUACUGUGCGUCCUCUGUAAUCAAGCUUCUUUAAGCAUGCUCUGCAGAUCAUACGUCUGAAUUAUCGAAACAAGAUGAAUUAUUUUUUGUUUAUUGCAGCAGGCGAUCAAUGAGCGGAAUUUCUAGCUUGUAUUCAAUUCGCGAACACAGUUUGAGAAGAAUCAGACCAUUAAUUUUCUUUUGAGCCAAUCAACAGAAUGUACAUUUCUUCUAAGAACUUGUAACCGAAACCGCAGUUUUUCAGGUUUGCUCCUUCCUCAUAGCAGUUAAUCAAACGAUAAACAGAGAUAUCCCAUGUCAACAAGAAGGUAAUCAUAAAAGAACAACAGAAUUGUUGCAACAUAUUCAUAUGAAAUGUAAAACAAUUUUGAGAAAAAAUAUUGGGAAGAUAUUUUUUUUUCAUAGAAGUUGCAAUCUUUACGUUAUUUACUAGUUUGACUAGACUAUAUAAGGAAGCUAUAUGAAAUUAGAAAAAUAAGCUAUACUAGGAAAGAAUAAAUAUGUGUACAGAAAAUUAGGCUAUAAUUUUCAAAUUAGAUGCCAGUUAAUUUUAUCAUAAUUAGAUGGUAAGAUUGCAAAUUCUGCAGCCAAAGGUGGUACGGAACUGAAUGAAGGAAAUCAAAUAUGAACAUGUUUUCAAUCUUAAAAUAUUAAGAGUAGCAUAAGUAACUUGUGAAACAGUUAUAAGUUCAAGGGAAUUAGAUGAUGGCAUGGUUGAAUUUUAUAAAUAUUUGAUAUUUUGGACCGAACAGGGCAAACAGAUGGAUCCAGAUAAUCAAGAAAAACAUCAAUUCCAUGCAACCAAAUGAGUCUAGUCAAAGAAAUUAUUCAAAGAAAUCUCUAGGUCAGUAUCCAAAUAUAUGGCUCCGUCCGUUCCACCACCACAACCAAAAAAAUCAGAUCCCCCCAUUUGGAUUCGAUUGAUUAAUUUGAGCAUAUAAAAUCGGGUUUUAAACUUCCCUAAUCAAAAUUUAUAUUCCACAGAAUCAGUUCCUUUAACAUGAUGCAUUACAUAAUAUUUUGUUUGCAAAAUAAAGAAGAAAGAUGACAUAAUAGAAACACGCUAUUGCAUCUUUUGAAAAAGAAAAACGGAAUAGUUUUCCAAAAUUAAUUCCGAGAAGAAGAUUAACUAAUAAUGAUGUUAGAAAUUUUAAUAUUUGAGUCUUAAUAUUAUGUAUCACUCAUUUAUUAAAUAAUAGAUUUCAUAAUUUGUAAAAUUACUUAACCACUUGAUAAAUGUUAUAUUUGUUGGGACUAAAUUGGAACUUAAAUGUUGGAAUAUCUAGUAUUGCAUUAAAAAAUAAAUAAAAACUUAACAAUUUAUCUUCACUUGACUAAUUGUUUUUACAUCACAACUAACCUUAAUUAUUUUGAAAGUUACAGUAUUAUUAAAUUGUCCUAACUGGUUAUCCAAAGUUGAAGCAUGUUAAAAUAAAAAAAAUUACUAAGAAACAUGUGCUUAAACAGAGGUUAAAGCUAUGAACAAUUAAGAAGAAACUCUUAAUUUGGUCCCAGUUAGUAUAAUAAUCAUCUAUUGAGCGGUAAAAUAUUAAUUUUAAUAGUGAUGAAAUCCAAUAAAUAAUAGAUUACUAACACACAUAAAUUAAAACUUAACUGUCUGAAAUCAUAACAUUACUCUACUCUUCAGUGGAGUUCUCUUAAACAGAUUAUGUGAGAUUGCCUACAUUAAAAAUAUGUUAAGACUGCUUGUUGAAAGCAAUAUUCGCUUUUCCAUUAUAUCCAUAACUUUGAAUUGAUAAAGUUGUAUUCAGCAGCUCUUGAAAAGACUAAUUUAUUUUAACUAGUCAUAGAAAUAAGAGAGAAAAGGGGCUAUUUCUUGACUCAAAGUCAAUUAUAAUUAUCAAAACUUGAGGGGACAUCGCAUGCCUAAAUUCCACGCACCCUAAUACGGUUUGAUUUGCUUUCACGCGUUCAUGAAUUUCCAUGAAAGAGCCUGCCUUUCGUCUCUUUCGGGACAGUGACUACAAUAAUGGAAAAAAUUAUAAUUCUCGUUAGAUUGUAACCAAAUUAUUAUCCCUAAUUUUUUUAAGUUACAUAUAAUAAAAUUCAUGCUUAAGUAUUUAGUAAUUAGAGAGAGAUAGAGAGGAUUGAGGGCCAAUGUUUCGCGAUUUGGGGUCAAUUCAAAGUCAACUAACGUGUAAAACACGUGUAUGCAUAGAAAACGCUUAGAUUAUUUGUGUUCCAAGAAAGAAAGAAGACCCAUCACCUUCUUCGUGACAACAAAUGAAUGAAUGAUGUUGAUAUGACAAAUACAAGCGCUAUUACAGGGAACAGCAUAAGAUCGAGACUUGAUAAAGGGUUUGUUAAAUUACAUGUUAUUUUCUUUUGACUUGAAUGAUGUUGAAGAGAAAAAUCAAAUAACAUUGUAAUCAGGGUGAUGUGUGGAAUAUAGUGAAAUAAAUAAAUAGAGAAGAGAAAUUCGUUGAUCAAUAUUCAAGAACUCAUCCAAAGUGAUCGUCAAAGUCUAGAGGUUCGGUAUGAUUAGCAUUUAUUAUUAUUUUUUUUGGCUUAACAUCAUAUAUAGUCACCUGUCGUGUGAUCUAGAACAGGUUUAGAAAUCCUUUUAUUUUAACUUCCGUAUUCUUAUUAUUUAAUUAGUUAUAGGGUUCUUCAGUAUUUGAGUAUUGAUCACAUGUCUCCUAAUCUAAAAAUAUGUUUUUACGAGUACAAAUAACAAACUAGGAUUUUAACAGCCUUUUAUACUAAACCCUAAAAAUACAUGAAUUUAUCAAAAUAAGUAAAUUAAUUUAAAUUGGUAUGGCAUAAUAAAAGUUUUACCUGCCGAAACAAAUUAAAAAAAUAUUACACUUAAAUCAAAUAUUGACAAAAAUAGAUAACAAUCUAAUGAGAAUCUUAACUAGAUAUUUUUACUUCUAUCCAAUUUAACUGGAACGAGAAUUAAGUCCUUUCAAUAGUUAGGACUCAUAACUCAUACACGCUAGUUUGAGAGUGUGGGGUGUGACAAUGGGCCAAAAGACCAUUGACAAGUACAAAAGAGUGGUCGCAAUUAAUUCAAACCGCUACACACGCUAUUGCGUCUUUUAAAAAAAAAAUGGAAUAGUUUUCCAAAAUUAAUUCAGAGAAGAAGAUUUACUAAUAAUGAUGUUAGAAAUCUUAAUAUUUGAAUCUUAAUAUUAUGUAUCACUCAUUUAUUAAAUAAUAGAUUUCAUAGUUUGUAAAUUUACUUAACCACUUGAUAAGUGUUAUAUUUGUUGGGACUAAAUUGGGACUUAGAUGUUGGAAUAUCAAGUAUUGCAUAAAAAUAAAAAAUAAAAACUUAACAAUUUAUCUUCACAUGACUAAUUGUUUUUACAUCACAACUAACCUUAGUUAUUUUUUAAAGUUAUAGUAUUAUUAAAUUGCCCUAACUGGUUAUCAAAAGAUGAAAGCAUGUUAAAAUAAGAAAUUACUAAGAAACAUGUGCUUAAACAGAGGUUAAGGCUACGAACAAUUAAGAAGAAACAACUUACAAUCAAAGGUUAAGAUUAUGAACAAAUUAAGGAAGGUAUUGAGCAGAUAAAGGGACGAAAUCAUUGUCUGAAUUGCCGGUGACAAGAAUGCUUGUGUUGUGAAAAGAAACCUGAUGGUUUGUAAAUGGGUUGAAUUUUUUAUUCGGUCGCUCCAACUGACUUACUAAUGCCAAAUUUAUUACUUUGCACAGUAGUGUUUAGGAUCCUCAAGAUCAACUCUUAAUUUGGUCCCAAUUAGUGUAGAAAUCAUCUAUUGAGCAAUAGAAUAAGAAUUUUUCUAGUCAUGAAAUUCAAUAUAUAAUAUAUCCUUGACACACAUCGAUUAUAACUUAACUGUUAGAAUUCAUAACAUUACUCUACUCUCAAGGGGAGUUCUCUUAACAUAUUAUGUUAGGUUGCCUACAUUCAAAAUAUGUUAGGCUGCUCUUUGAAAACAAUAUUCCUUUUUCCGUAACUUUGAAUUGAUCCAAUAGCUCUUGAAAAGCACAUAAUAAUCAUUAUAAAUUUAAUCAAAGACUAAGCAGGUCUUCUUUCCAUUUGAUCACUCGCAUUUCAGUUAAGUUUGUCGUUUACUUAAAUUUUUCUUGCUUUCAAUUUCCACUGUUGUUUUUUUUUAUAUAAAAUAAUUUAUUUAAACUAGUCAUAGAAAUAAGAGAGAAAGGGCGCCAUUUCUUGACUCAAAGUGAAUUAUAAUUAUCAAAACUUGAGCGGACAUUGCAUGCCUAAAUUCCACGCACGCUAAAACGGUUUGAUUUGCUUUCACGCGUUCAUGAUUUUCCAUGAAAGAGAGUGCCUCUCGUCUCUUUCCGGACAGUGACUGCAAUUAUGUUAACGUGACGAAUACAAAACGUUAUUACAUACAAGAAUAAGUUUUUGGACCCGAGACUUGAGGGAGGUUCUAUCUAAUUCUAAAGAUUGUAACCAAAUCAUUAUCCCCAAAUUUUUUCAGUUAAAUAAAAUAAAAUUUAUGCUUAAGUAUAAAUAAUUUUUUAAAGUUAAAUAUAAAAUAAAAAAAUUCAUGAACUUCCUAGAAAGAAAGAAGACCCUUCACCUUCUUCGCGACAACAAAUGAUGUUGACAUGACAAAUACAAGCUCUAUUACAGGGAACAGCAUAAGACCGAGACUUGAUAAAUAUUAAAUAUAUAAAAUAAGUGGAGCAAACGAACAGAAUAAUAGAUAUUUUAUAAUAUUCUUCAUAAAAAUCCAUGUUUUGAGCCUGCCUAUAAGCUUAUCUAGUGAAGUCUGGGUAUCCGCGUUGCCCAAGGUUCCGUUUGAAUCCAGGCCGUGUAGAUGUUUAAGACAUCGCAUAUGGACGGAGUGGAAAUAUUUUCAGUUGACUGAAUUAAAUAAAAAUAUAUUACAAUCAUAUUAUAUAUUAGCAGCAAAAAUAAAAAGAAAUGAAGAAAAACGCAUGCAAGACUUAGACAAGUCAAUUAAAAGCUGGGAGUAUCAUCAGUUCAAUUGGUUAUAAAUAGCGUAGAGCCAUCCUCUCGUUGUUGCAGAACUGAAGCAAAGAGACUCAGAAAGAGUGUGUGUAGGUGAUUAUAAUUAAGAAGAUAUAAUGUGUGGUUCAAAAAGAGUGUGGGUGAGUGAGUUAAUUUUCAUAUUAUUAGUAGUAAAAGGGUGGUGGAGUGAGGGAUGUUUGGAGCAAGAGAGGUCUGCUCUCCUACAACUCAGACAUUUCUUCAAUGAUGAUCAACUUCUUCAAAACUGGGUAGACGAUGAGAAUUAUUCAGAUUGUUGUCAGUGGGAAGGGGUUGAGUGCAAUAACACCACUGGCAGAGUGAUUGAAUUAUAUCUAGGAUAUACUCGGAAAUGGGAAUCAGCAGAGUGGCAUAUGAAUGCUUCUCUGUUUACUCCCUUUCAACAAUUAGAGUCUCUUGAUUUAAGUUGGAACAAUAUAGCCGGUUGUGUUGAAAAUGAAGGUCCUUAAUUUACUUUAUUUUAAUUCUUCCUCCUCGUAAUUUCUUACAUCUAUCUGAUCCCUUUUGGCUUUUGUUUAAUUUGUACGUGAUACAAUAAAAUUACUUUUUAUUUUUUGUCAGGUCUAGAUAGGUUAUCAAGGUUGAAGUUUCUUUAUUUAGACUAUAACUGCUUCAACAACAGCAUCGUUUCAUCUCUAGGUGGUCUUUCAUCACUCAGAAACUUAUCAUUGGCUGGUAAUGAAUUGGAUGGAAGUAUUGAUAUUAAAAGUAAGUACGCUUCAACCCUUCUCCCCUGUCCCAUCUUUUGUAGAUCUUAUUUCACUGAGCAGCUGGAAGUAUUGAUACGAGAUCUAGCUAGACUCUUGUGAGUUUAGGCUUCAAGGCUUUGAAUAUUAUAAAAAUAAGUUAAAGAAAUUAUCGAUAUAUGCAAUUUUCAAUGCUUCUCAUAAUCAGACACAAUUCAAUCUAAUUAUUUCGUAUGUCCUGUCUUCAAAAGUAAAGAAUUGUACACUAAUUGGAAAUCGACAUCGUAGCUUUUUAUUUUCUAUAAUGCUCUUUUUUCGUUAACGAGUUUAUAUCCUAAGAGGGAUUGGAUUGAAAAAAAAAAAGUUUUGAUGUUCAAUGUAAGCCAUGAUAACCUGCAUCUUAUUUGUCUGCCGACAUCCAAAUUUGUGCACUGAAUUUAGUAUUUUGGUUAUUGUGAAGGGAUCAGAUAUUGGCUUCCAUAGACCAACUUGUAUUUACUUAAUUAAUUAAUUAACGACAUUUAGUAUUUAACAAAUUAAAAUUUCAUGUUUAAUCGAUUUUAAUUUUUUUAAGAAAAAAGAAAAAGAUAUAACAGCAUGUAAAGCUGAAAUAAAUUUUAAUUCCUUACAAAUUUAAAUUCAUGGUUGUCAGCUAAAUAUACCUGCUUAAAGCCACUCUUUUCGCUGAGAUUUAACCAAAAAAAAAAGGAGAAAAUAAUUUAUUUAAUUAACUCUGUUUUAAGUGUUGGAAUAAAUACAGGACUGGAAUCCUUGAGUAACUUGGAGAUGCUGGACAUGAGGGACAAUGCAAUCGACAAUCUAGUGGUUCCUAAAGGUAUACAAAAUGACACUAACCCAAAAUAAUUUAAUCCGAAAUUGUAUCCCAAAUAGAUUACAGAGGUUUGAGGAAGUUGGAUACCCUUUAUUUGGGGGGGAAGGGAAAUUGCAGUGAUAUAUGGAAGCAAGGUGUUGCAAUCAAUAAAGAAAUUCAUAGGGUCAAUAUUAAAGGACUCUCCUCCAACUCAAACAUUUCUCAAAUAGAUUAUUUAAUCUGAAAUAGUAUCUCAAAUAGAUUAUAGAGGUUUGAGGAAGUUGAAUACCUUUUAUUUGGGGGGGAAGGGAAAUUGCAGUGAUAUAUGGAAGCAAGGUGUUGCAAUCAAUAAAGAAAUUCGUUGGUCAAUAUUCAAGACUCAUCCAAAGUGAUCGUUAAAGUCUAGAGGUCUGCUCUCCUCCAACUCAAACAUUUCUUCAAUGAUGAGAAUUAUUCAGAUUAUGGUCAGUGGGAAGCGGUUGAGUGCAACAACACCACUGGCAGAGUGAUUAAAUUAGAUCUAGGAGCCACUAGGAAUCGGGAAUCAUCAGAGUGGCAUAUGAAUGCUUCUUUGUUUACUCCCUUUCAACAAUUAGAGUCUCUUCAUCUAAUUGGGAACAAUAUAGCCGAUUGUGUUAAAAAUGAAGGUCCUUAAUUUACUCUAUUUUAGUUCUUCCUCGUAAUUUCUUACAUUUAUCUGAUCCCUUUUGGCUUUUGUUUAAUUUGUACGUGAUACAAUAAAAUUAUUUUUUAUUUUUUGGCAGGUCUAGAGAGGCUAUCAAGGUUGACCAACUUGAAGUUUCUUCAUUUAGACUAUAACUGCUUCAACAACAGCAUCUUUUCAUCUCUGGUUGGUCUUUCAUCACUCAAACGCUUAUCAUUGGCUAGUAAUGAAUUGAAUGGAAGUAUUGAUAUUGAAGGUGAGUAAGCUUCAUCCCUUCUCCCGUGUCCCAUCUUUUGUGGAUCUUAUCUCAUUGACGGGUUGGAAGUAUUGAUACGAGAUCUAGCUAGACUCUUGCUAGUUUAGGCUUCAAGGCUUUGAAUAUUAUAAAAAUAGGAUUAAGAAAAUAUCAAUAAAUGCAAAUUUCAAUGCUUCUCGUAAUCAGACACAAUUAAAUCUAAUUAUUUUGUAUGUCCUGUCUUCAAAAGAAAAGAAUUGUACACUAAAUGGAAAUCGACAUUAUUGUUUGCUUUUGAUUAGUGGAUCAAAAAUCGACUAAUUUUGAUUUAACAUAAAAAUAAAAAAGAGAAAAUAAGUUAUUUAAUUAACCCUGUUUUAAGUGUUGGCAUAAAUGCAGGACUGAAUUCCUUGAGUAACUUGGAGGAGCUGGACAUGAGCGACAAUGCAAUCGACAAUCUUGUGGUUCCUAAAGGUAUACAAAAUGUUCAAAUAUUAAUAAUUUGGAGGACAGUUUAAUUGAUUUGAUUAGGGAAUGCCCAAUGACACUUACCCAAAAUAAUUUAAUCUGUAAUUGUAUCCAAAACAGAUUUCAGAGGUUUGAGGAAGUUGAAUACCCUUCGUAUAGGGGGAAGCAGAAUUCGAAUGAUAGAUGGAAGCAAGGUGUUGCAAUCAAUAGGAUCACUACCGUCCCUCAAAACACUUGACCUUUGGUAUACUAAUUUUACGGGAACAGUAGUUAAUCAAGGUAAGUAAAUCUUUUAUGUCGAAAAUAAUUGAAUUAAUAUAUAUAGCUAAAAUUUAUUGUUUCUACUUCUUUCUAAAUAGAGUUGCACAAUUUCACCAACUUGGAAGAAUUGAUAUUGCUCGGGUCUCAUCUCCACGUAAGCCAGCUUCUGCAAAGCAUCGCAUCAUUCACUUCGUUAAAGAAUUUGUCAAUGCCAGUUUGUACCCUUACAGGUGCCGUACAUGGUCAAGGUAAAUUACGGGUAUCUGAAGCUUUUAUGAUAUUAAUUCGAUAAUAAUUCUUUCUUUUCAAGUUAAUUUUCUCCCGUAAAAUAAUAUUUUUUUCUUUUAAAUUUUAUAUAUUUUCACCGUCCAAUAGAAGAGUAAAGAAAAAUAAGUAAAUUAACCCAAAAAAAAGAAAAGAACAAGACCGGAUUAUCCUUAUUCCCUUGCAUUAUGCGAUCAAUAUCAAAAUUAUAACCAUUUCUUGUUUAUUGCUUGUAGAUUUUCGUAAAUUCAAGAAUUUGGAACAUCUGGACAUGGGUGGGGUGCAAGUUGAUGUCAACACCAGUUUUCUUCAAAUUGUCGGCGAAUCAAUGCCUUCUCUUAAGUUUUUAUCACUGGCAGAUUCAAGUCUUAAUAAAAACACCAUUCUUGAUCAAGGUUAAUUAAUGAUUCUCAUUCUCCCUCUCUCGCAUCAUAACUAAAUUUAAUGGAGAAUAUCUAUAAUGCGAGCUAUUUAUAAACUUAAUGAAAGAUGAUAAGGAGCCAUAAUAAUGACAAAAAUAAUUGUAAAAUAGUGCACUGUUGUAGUGUUGAUUGAAAAAUAAUGCUAAUGUUUUACCUAACAACACUAUAACGUCGGAUAAUUUUUAAUAUGUACUUUAAACUAUCAGUACUCAAACUAUCAGUACUCAAACUUAAUUUUUAAUAUGUACUUUAAAGAUUUUAUGCAAUUAUUUAAGUUUUAUGCAAUUAUAUUUUUCAGGACUUUGUCGGUUAGUGCAUCUGCAAGAGUUAUACAUCAGCAGUAAUGAUUUGAGAGGUAGCUUGCCAUGGUGCUUGGCAAAUUUGACUUCCCUUCGAGUAUUAGAUGUCUCUUACAAUCAACUAACUGAAAACAUCUCCUCAUCUCCCCUCAUGCAUCUAACAUCUAUCGAAGAGCUCAUACUUUCAAAUAAUCACUUCUUCCAAAUCCCUAUUUCACUUGAACCACUUUUCAAUCUCUCAAAACUCAAGACUUUCGAUGGUGAAAUAUGCGCAGAAACUGAGUCACAUUAUAAUUCUUUGACCCCAAAAUUCCAACUGACUUCUAUCUCACUGUCUGGUUACAUAGAUGGUGGCACAUUUCCCAAAUUCUUGUACCAUCAGCAUGACUUGAAGAAUGCUGAUCUCUCACACCUUAACUUGAGUGGAGAAUUUCCAAAUUGGUUGCUAGAAAACAAUACAAACUUAGAGACGCUUCUUCUUGCCAACAACUCUCUUUUUGGAUCAUUUCGGAUGCCAAUUCAUUCCCACCAGAAUUUAGCAACAUUGGAUGUCUCUAAAAAUUUCUUUCAAGGCCAUAUUUCGGUGGAAAUCGGAACAUAUCUGCCAGGUUUAAUGGAUUUAAACUUAUCUAGAAAUGCUUUCAACGGUAGCAUUCCCUCUUCAUUUGCUGAUAUGAAAAUGUUGGAAAGGUUGGACAUAUCCUACAAUCAGUUGACUGGUGAAAUCCCAGAGCGCAUGGCCACAGGUUGCUUCUCAUUAGAAAUUCUUGCAUUGUCAAACAACAGUUUGCAAGGUCAUAUAUUCUCUAAAAAAUUUAGCUUGACAAAUUUGACGACGUUGCAGUUGGAUGGUAAUAAAUUCGCUGGAGAGAUCCCAGAAAGCUUAUCUAAGUGCUAUUUGUUAGAAGGAUUAUAUCUGAGUGAUAAUCAUCUCACUGGUGAGAUUCCAAGAUGGUUGGGUAAUUUGUCAGCUUUGGAAGAUAUUAUAAUGCCCAAUAACAAUCUUGGAGGGCCAAUUCCAAUCGAGUUUUGUCAGCUUGAUUCUCUGAAGAUUUUAGACCUUUCAAACAAUAGUAUUUUCGGAACCUUACCAUCUUGCCUUAGUCCAGGAUCUAUUGAACAACUUCAUUUGUCAAAAAACAAGAUAGAAGGACGAUUGGAAAGUAUAAUCCAUGACAGCCCUUAUUUGGUGACAUUAGAUCUUAGUUAUAACAGCUUACACGGAAGUAUUCCAAAUCGGAUUGACAGACUACCUAAGUUAAACUACCUUCUUUUGGCUAAUAAUUAUAUUGAAGGCGAAAUACCAGUUCAAUUAUGCCAUUUGAAGGAAGUGCGGUUGAUUGAUCUUUCUCAUAAUAAUCUAUCUGGUCAUAUUCCUCCUUGCUUGGUUAACACUUCACUCAGUGAAGGUCAUCAUGAGGCAGUAGCUCCAACUCCAAGUGGAUCUUCGAUGGGAAAGGAAGAAACUGUACAGUUCACAACAAAGAAUAUGUCCUACUAUUAUCAAGGAAGAAUUUUGACGAGUAUGUCUGGGAUUGAUCUUUCUUGUAACAAACUGACAGGUGAGAUUCCUACUCAAAUUGGAUAUCUUACUAGGAUUCAUGCACUAAAUCUAUCUCAUAACAAUUUGACGGGCACAAUCCCGACAACAUUUUCAAACCUGAAGCAAAUCGAAAGCUUGGACCUCUCCUACAACCUACUGCAUGGGAAAAUCCCUUCUCAGCUCACCGUGCUAACUACAUUGGCGGUCUUCACAGUAGCAUACAAUAACUUAUCAGGCAAAAUCCCAGAUAGAGUCGCACAAUUUUCAACUUUUGAGGAAGAUAGCUAUGAGGGGAAUCCUUUUCUUUGUGGAUGGCCACUGUCUAAAAGUUGCAAUGAUAGUGGAUUAUCAGCAGUGACACCAGAAGCUUACACUGAUAAUGAAGAAGGUGAUAGUUUAAUUGACAUGGACAGUUUCCUGAUCACUUUUACAGUAUCUUAUGGAAUUGUGAUAUUAGGAAUUAUUGGAGUUUUGUACGUAAACCCCUAUUGGCGGCGAAGAUGGUUUUACCUUGUUGAAGUGUGUAUGACCUCUUGCUACUAUUUUGUGGCAGACAAUCUUGUUCCUAGAAGAUUCUAUGGUGGAUGGAUGUAAUUUCAUUUACUUUACAACUUAUAUGUUAUUUUUAAAGAAUUUUCUUUUGCAUGCAUGGAAUAGCAACUCAAUAAAAGUAUUUGAUGCAAAUUGUCCAAGAACAACUUAGUAAUUUCAUUGCUACUAUUCGGUUGUAUAUAUACAGUUAAUGAAAUUUUUAAUCAUUCGCAGUAGGAAUUUCUUUAAAUGGCGGCCAAAACCAACAGAUUUGGGGCUCUACCUCUACACAUCAUAACAGGCAAAAGGUCUCUCUUUUACACUAUCUGAAUGAAGAUUAGCUUACGCCCCUGGAGUUCUCUAUUAAACUUGACGGUUGAGAUUUCAGGUCCAGAUGAAAGUUAAAUGCAGGCGACGAGACUACACUUUAAGUAAACUGGGACAAACUUAAAAUAAAUAAAAAUUAUAGUCCAGGGUAAGAGUAAUGGGUAGCUCAACUUAUGGAGUAUAACUAGGACUUGGAAUAACUAUCAGAUUUGCAACUCUUGUUAUAUGCUUGGGAGUUACAGUAAUCGAUUCAUUUCCUCCAUUUCUGAUGGUAACCCAGCUCUAUACAAGAACAAUCAGAGAAGGUUCAUUUAAGAAAUUUCACAACCCACGCUUUUUUUUCCUUUUUGCCCUCUUCCUCACAAUAAAAACACCUAACACACCAAGCCGUGCACAAAAUAGUCCUAUUUUAUUCAUGUCAUGAAUCCAAAAACUAUCCCAGCUCACUUUGUUUAACCAGCAUAACUAAAUUGUGGGUAUAAAUGAACACACUUUCGAAGCCUGUAACUUAUAAUAAGCUCAAACCCAAAAAUGACAUUUAAAUCCUGCAAGUGUUUUUCAUCAUCCCUAACAAAAAGAAACAAGAAUAAUUAUAUACCAAUAAUUUUUCCAUAAAAAAUACUGAUACCAAUAAUUUUUCCAUAAAAAAUACUGAUUUGAGUUGAAACACUAUACAAACUGGGUUUUAUACACUUGCAGAAAGCUACACGAUAGACAAAAUCUAGCAGCUACAUAAUGGUAUCACUUUCAGCUGGUCAUGAAUGGUGUGCAUUCAGCAGUGCUCGAUAGACCAUGUCUAUGAAUUGAUUGUCCUAUUACAUAUAAAAGCUGGUCAGCUAUACAAGGAAAAAAAUAAUAAUUGAAAAUGCAUCACAAAAAAUAAGUGUCUCGCAUUAGUGUUUGCACUCUAAGCAUGGCAAAGUGGUGCGGGUUCAUGAUUUUGAAGACUGGGAUAAGUGAAAAAUAGUUCAAUCCACUGAUGAACAUAAAUUUAUUUACAUGUCAAUUUAGAUAUCAUAAAAAAGUAAACAGUAAUUCACAGUCACUUAAAAGAGUUGAUAAAAUGCGUGCCGUGAAUGCAUUUUUGUACAUAAGAAAUCCAAAGAGUAUUUCUGACAAUACAAAUAUGCUAGCUUUAAAUCUGCUGUCAAUAUGCAAUUAAGAAGAUUAUACCAGCUGCAUGAUAAAGUUCCCCUAAUCUUAAUAACAGUAAACAUGAACAUGUCAGAUGCAAUUAUAGCUUCGAGCAUUUGCAUAACCAGAAAUCCUAACCUGAACAAGCACCAGAAGUGUCUCUCGGACUUUCUCCUUGUUGAUAAAUGGUCCGCUGUUUGAAGUAAGAGCAGGAGUAAGAGAUGGUGGAGGGGUUGGUAGUGGAAAAGGUUGAAGCAUUGGGGCACCAUAUGGGCGUUGCAGACUCAGGGGAGGAUUAAGUGGCGGAGCUGUUGGUGUAGAUGAAGAGACAAGCUGCAUCAUCUGUGCAUAGGAGGAUGGAGGAGGAACAAAGAAUAAGGAAGGCUUUACAAGAUUAGGGGUAGGUGCUGACAGAGGUGGAGAUGGUAUUUGCAAGGUUGGCACGAUAGGAGAAGCAACACUGGCGGGAUGAGAAGGUAAAGAAAUAGUUGUAUUGGACUGGUAAGGUUGUGCAGAGAUUGCUGCAUUAGAAGUAUUCCCCACAGUCAAAGCUGUCUGCAAUGAUAAGGACAGAUGUCAUAUACAAGGACAAGUGAUAACAUAUGAAAAUAGUAUGACUUGCUGCAGUUUUGUGGUAAUGUUGCAUACUUAUGCAGAAACAUAUUAUUUCAAAGAAAACAUACACUGAAGUAGUUCACAAAAGCAGGAUCUUCAGGAACAUCAGCAGCAUUUGAGGGAGUUGACUCUAGAGGACCAUCCAUAACUGCCAUAGUUGGAACAGCUUCCAGUUCCUCAAACUCACUGCAGUUUAACAUAAAAGGAACUUGAUGACCAAUUUAAGUAAUAAUUAGAUGAUAUAAGAGGUUAGGGAAAAUGAUGAGUGGACCCUUAUGGAAGGUGAUUUCACCUUAGCUAAACACGAAAAUAAAAAGAAAUCAAAGCUGAAUCCUCGAGUGCAAUGCAAAGAAUUUUUUCUCGCUCUUCUCUAACUCCUCUUAUUCGAAAUUGCUCAUCAUUGUGCUGUUCUUCGAGUUUUCGCUAGAGUAGAGAAAGCUAUUCUCUCGUUAAGUGCAGAGGAAAGAGAAGGGCAAGGGCCUGGUAUGAUGCUAUUCUAUAGGAAGUGAGAAGGUGAAGGGUUAAAAUAUUUUGUAAUUUGGAGGUGGUGUUUGUUAGUGUGUGUGUACUUCUGAAUUUAUUACCUCUUUAGGAUCCAUAGAAAUUGCCUCUUGUUCAGCAUGCACUGUGCCUACGAGUAAGACGAGCUUGCAUGGUAUCUAUUGUCUAUUUACUUGGAUAUUCAAACAUGACUACCAGCCACCAAACACAAAUCCCCAAACAAAACACUCUUUCAAGUGCAAGGAAAGAGUAACUUGGGCAUAUUUAUAGUUCAAGCACUACAAUAACUAAGAAUGUGAUGACUGUCCACAAACACUAUAUCAGUGCCUUUUGAACUACAUUACAUGCUCGAAGACUUUUUUUUUAGUCAUACAUAAAUUAGCUAUAAAAUUAAGACCGUUAUACAACUAAAAAGAAAGAAAAAUUGUUUGCUACUACAUAUCAAAACUGGUAAUAGCAAUGUAAGAUGGCAGACUUCUUACUUAAACAGAUGAGAGGCUACAAAUAAAAAAUUUGUGCAAAUAAAAUAUAUGAUAGAGAGCAUAAUACUUUCUUGGGGGCUAAAAAUAAUAUACAACUUGUGAAAUAUAAAUUGAGCUACCAUUACCUUUUAGAUGUGGCAACUUUCGACUUUUGAGGCACCUUGGAAUAUGCAUUCAGAAUCCUGCAUUUGGAAGCCAAAUAAAUAAUGUUAAUAACAAUUUUACAAUAGAAAAAUUAAAAAUUGAUAAAUGGCAGUUGUAAUUUAUGUAUGCGUAAAGAUAGCUUCACAUCCAGGGUCCUCCCAUAAACAUGCUUGUAACAAGAAUUAGUUUGUCCAACUGUUAGCAACUGCUAACAAUAUACAAUAGUAAAAAUCACUCUCAUGAACUCAACAAUACUAGGCACCAAUAAGAGUAUGAUACAGCCAUUCUAAAAUGGAAGAGAAUACAACUGUUUUACAACUAUGUUGCAUCAGGAGAUAUGUUAGGAGGAUUAAUCCAGAUACCUUCCAACCCAAUUAGGAAAACUCGAGUCAGAAACCAGGAGCCGCAACCGAACCUUACAAUCUUGAAGGAAGAAGGAGACUUGGGGCAUUUUUCCAGAUAGGUGACUUACUAGAUCUCCUGCCAAGAGAAUAUCUAUUGCUUUGAACCUCCAUUGAAAUUUCUUUUCCCUUUUUCUUGUUUUGGCUUGGAACUUUCCAGCAUCAUCUAUUUGAUCUUUUUUAAAGCUAAAAAAGCAAUCUAUGGGUUGUGAACAUCUUAUCACCACCCCCCCCCCCCCCCCGGGCCCCCAAAAAAAAAUCAAUGAGUUGUCAAUAAAUAGCGCCUACUCAAAUGUUUUCCAAUGGAUGACAAUGUGCAAAUCGACCUAGCAGCCACAUUUUUCCCCCCUUUCAACCACCAUUAGGCAACUUUUCUAACCUUUCUUCAUUGCCCACGUGUACAGAACUAUCAUAUAAAGACUACAUUAUUAUUGGGAUGGAGAAAAAUAUACAGACUAUAUUAUUAUAUCUCAUUUUAUUAAUUAACUAGUGCAAGACUUAUUUAGUGUCAAAUCAAGAACUAAUUGGAAAAGACAACUCAUGAUAAUACAGACCUUAAAAAGCAAUAGCUAGCAACACCUCAUAUACUCCUAUUUUAGCCUUUAAUAUCCUGGUAAAAACACAAUUAAGUCUUGCAAAAGAACAUUCACAAGUAAAUUCAACAUUAAUUAAGAUUAAGUAUCUACUGCACCUUCAAUCAAUGACUGGGUGAAUAGCAUGGUCAACCAUCUAGUUCCUGUAGCCCUCCUUGUACCUAUGUUGGUUACAUUUUACAUAUUCAGCCACGAAAAUGAAGGAUCACAGCCUGGUAAAGAAAGCCAUUAAUUAAUAGUGUUUGUUUAAAAAGUUCUCGUUUAGAUCUUUCCUAUUCAAUGAAUCAAUGUAAUCCAUGGAGAACUCUUCCAUUUCAAGCAGUGUUAGAAGAUAAUUGGAAAGCCUAAAGAUAGUAUACAAGGACCAAGAUAUCGAUUAGGUCAAAUAGUGAAUGUCAAAUAUAAAAAAUAAAUAAAAGAAGUUGUACAUGAUCAUUUACUAUCAAGUUCUGUAAAAUUGAAAAUACCAUUAUCACUGUAGAGAUUCUCAAACAACUCUUUAGCAAAUUAUAAAAUAGUUAAAAAAAGAACAAAAGUUUUUUUUUAAAAAAAGAAGAACAUCCAUAUCAGGAGAUGUUUUUCUUCUCAAUCUCAAUAUUUUCUAGCCGUGAAGCAAUUGAAAAGCUUAACACUAAGUGAAUUAUUAAGAAUUCAUCAUUUAAAUUCCCAAAUCGCAAAAUGUUGGUGCAACUAGGAAAGUGCAAAUGCAAUCACUUAACUAACACAAGAAACACCAAUAGUGAGAGCCCACUUUGUAUCAAAUUUGAAACAGAUAGAGGUCAAAAAAAUUAUACACUCAAUUAAAAGCCUUUCAAACAGCUUUUGCAUGGAACAAGAACAAAUCAAAGGCAAUGUGAAUGUAUUCAAAGACUAAUUUACAAUGAUCUACAGGACAUAAAUAUCUUGGAUACCUACUCUCUAUACCUUACUGUCCCACUAGAAAUCAUCAAAUCCCUCCAAACAAAAAUGACAAAAUGGAUAAGAAUUGUGUCGUUAAACUUCAAUAACUUAGCAGCCACAGCAAAAACUUAUGUAGGCACGCAAGCCACUCAAAAUAGUCAUAUUUUUUGCUUUCCAAACAAAAGCCACUUUGUAAUGAAUAUUCAUAAAUUGCUACUAUCAUGUUUGUUAAAACACGUGAAAACCACCAUAACUAACUAAAUGUAACUGAUGAUCAUCAUCAAGUUCAUGGAAUCACAUAUCUGACAGUAUUAAUUAGUGCAAAUGGCAUGCUUCUUAAAACUCCGUAUUUAUCACAUGGGCGCCAUUCCAAUCAACCAAUGAUUCUGAUCUAGUCGGCAUAUUCAACCCACGAGCGAGUAAUACCUCCUAUUGCUUCUUUACAUUUCUCAACGAAAUUCCACAUUCUAACCAUACUUCUGAACAUGUUGCUCCCAUAGACUAAUACAAUAUAAAGAUUUCUUCCCACACCACCUCAGCCCACACUCCUGAAAAACCAAUUUAAAUUCUCAUUGGCUGUACAACCUAUAGUCCAUACCAAAUUGAAAAAUUUACAAAUAUAGAACCUCAAAGAAUCUUCUUGUGUUCCAUUUUUUACGGCAAGAAAUUUGACUUUUACCACAUGCAAGUCAACAAAUAAAAAAAUCAUGUCUUUGUGAGAUGCACAUUUUCAGAUGAAUCUAAAGAGCAAUGAAACCGUAAAAACCGAAUAUCAGAACACCGAGGACUCCAGAUAUCACCUAUAGAAUCUUUGGUCCACACUUGCACGAUGAAAAUGAUGAAAAACAAUUGAAGGCUUCAUCACCAGCUCCCCAGGUUGUUUUGUUCUCCUAUCUCCUAAAUAUAAAGGAAACGCAACCCGUUCUUUUUUCCAAUCUUAAGGGGCACAAAACGACUCUGGUAUAAAAUAGUCAGUUUCUAUACAAAAAUAACUCCUUUGCACUUGGCAUUGCACAUCUCGAAAUAAAAAGCAUGCUAGAAAGAGAAUAUAAUAGCAUUAAACAAGUUUUAUUAACCAAACUUCAUGCCACACAAGGCAAAAAAGGAAUCUGUACAUGCCAGAUUCCAAGAAUAAUAAUUCCAAUAUACAAUUCAGGAAAACAAUAACUAAAACUAGGUUCACGAGGCCUCGGCAGAAGCAACAUGUAAUAACCAUACUCUAUUAUUUGAAACACAUUUCUAAGUUUGGUUAAGAUUCUAAACUAUUCUCUGUGUCAAUUAUUAACAUGUAAAACAUAAUAAUAUACACUUAAACUACUACACAAACUACUACAGUAGUAAAACCAGUAAAACAACAAUACCUGUUGAAAAGAUUUGCUACCUCUUCACAUUCACGAGCAUUGUAGAACCAAAUCCCAUUUACUUCUUGGGAUGCAUUUCGAUAUAACAAAUACAGAACCUGAACUUCAAACUCAAAAUCUCCCAAAAGAUUUUCCACUAAAUUAUCUGCACAUAUACAAGAUAUUGAAGCUUAUCAGUGCAAAAACAUAUACAAAAAGACAUGAAGGUUAGAAGACAUAACUAAAACUUAGCAACAACUGAUAAGCACAACAAGACAUGAAAUAUAACACUAGUUGUAAACAAGAUAGACACAUGGUAUCUAAAAAAUUGUACCAACCCCCUCUCCUGAUUGUCAUAAAACGGCCAAUAUUUAACCCUAGACAACAAAAUUGCAAAUACUCUAGCCUCUAUAUUAUUGGCAUAUAAAUAUUUUAGGUUAGGUACGUUAUAUUCUUCGUUCUAAAACCUCAAUUAUUAGCUAGUACUGUGAUAAAAUGAUUCAUCACUGAAAUUAAAACUAGUUCACGUACAAAUAAUCAAAACUGAAAUAGAAACAACGACAAACCAACCUGUAUUACGUCGAUUCAUUACAACAAACUGAAAUCGAGGCUGUGUGUUCCUGAAAAUUGAAAAAAUAAUAAUUUCACCAACUUCAUAUGUAAUACAAUCUCCAAAACACCGAAUAUCAAAUGAAAAAAUGGAAAGCAUAAGAGAGAAAAGAAUCUAAUUUUAUUGACCUUUUGACGACGAAGAGAGAGCCUUCAACAUCCUUACGACACCAUUGGCUGAGGUCGAUGUUGAACUCGUAGAAGGUGACAUGAGCGGCCGUGAUGAGGAUCUCCUCAAUGAAUGGAUCGAUUCGCUGAAGAACUGUCAGGUUUAGGAGUUUUGUGCUCUGCUGGUCCAGAUUAGGCAUCAAUUUUCCGUUCUGCGACAUUUUUCAUAGCCGUUUUGGGCUCUGCCCUGAGCACAAGCCCCAUGGUUUUUCUGUGAGCUCUUUCUCUUUUGUAAAUAAAGUGUUUGAUGAGAUAGCCCAGAGAGAGUGAGAGUUGAACAGCCAAACAAGAUGAGGUGAACAGUUUCGGAUUGAGACUCGAGAUUGGUCAAGCUUUAACUUCUUUCAAACAUUUGGGAAAUAGCAUUUAUUUCUUUCAAUUUCUC
rnacentral:lncRNA from 1 species